AAAAAAAAAAGAGGUUGAAGUUGGUGAGCCGAAUGGGAUGAGCCGCCUCCCAAGAUUUAGGAAAAGAAGAAGGGGAAGCCGGGAGUAGGUCGCGAAGACGGUGUCCGCCAUAAAUCCAAUAGCAAAUGCAGAGGAAAAGACAGGAUCAUCAAAAAGUGAGAAAAAAAUUUAAAAAUUAAAGGAAACAAAAAGAAGAAGAAGCGGAAACGAGGGAACAGGAAUCGCAAAAUUCACAAUUCGCGAGCGACCCCUUGGCCAGCUCGACGUCGCUCGCCCUCGGCCAGCUCGGCGAGGGCGCCCGCUGAGUCGGGCCCAGGGGUCGCUCGCCGAGCGACCCCUCGGCCAGAUCGGCGAGGGCACCCACCGAUUCGGGCCCAGGGGUCGCUCGCCGAGCGAGCGCCACCCGUCGCAGACGCCGAACCACCCAUAGAAGGGAACUCACCUUGAACGACGCCCUUCAACGAUGAAGAAGCAGCAGUCGCCGUCGCCAUUCUUGCGGAGGGAGGAGCAGCCGUCGCCGUCACCGUUCUUGAGGAGGGAGGAGCAGCAGUCGCCGUUCUUGAGGAGGGAGAGAAUGAGACUGAUGAGCAGAGGAGACGAGAGGAGGAAAGAGAGAGUAGAGAGGAGAUAAGGCUCCACACUUUUGAUUCUCCUUUUUUAUUCUCGGAGGAAGAAUCAUAUUUUUUAUGAUUCUCAAUUCUUGUCCAAAACUGAUUCUGAGAAUAAAUUUGUUGUUAGGAACAAAAAUUUUACUAAACGCGAUUCUUGGCCCAAACUGAUUUUGGGAAUAAAGAAUCAAAAUUUGGCCCUGUUUGGAUGGUUAUCAAACAUGGCCUAAAAGUAACUCUCUUUGAGUAUUAGGUAAAUUCUCGAUACAGAAUUUGGUGUCAGCCAAGCCCGAAGUAAAUUUCAUCCUGAUCACAAAGAUGCUUUGACAAAGCGUUCGUUCAUAUUAGUAGUCUUAACAAGUAUCUUUAGGGCACUUCUACACUUUUAAACAAAUUUUUUUAUGUUAAUUGUAAUAAACUCUUCAAUUUUUUUUGUUUAAAAUCAAGGGAUUUUAUUUUCGCUCUAUAAUUAGCUCGCUCUUAAAUUACAAUGCGGUGGUUACUUACAAGUGGAACCCAUGUUAGGAGAUCACUCGGCAAAUCCACAGCCGUCAAGUUCAGAUUUUGGAGGAAUAACGGCAGACGGAAAGGAAAGGAAAAAAAAAAUCAGAUAAUUUCUUUUUCCAUAACAGUUUCCAGGCAAUAAUGAACUUCAUUUUAGGAACCAUAUAAAGAAAAUGACACCCAGUCACAGCUGGACAACCUAUCUGAAAUUGAUUGCUAGGAAAUAACUUGGCCAAAAAAAUCCCAUCAAUUAAUUAAUCUCUAUCUAAUUCUUAUUUGAUGAAAGAAAAAUGUCAAAAGUAGAGUAAUCUUGAUUUCGAAUCUUACGCCAGUGACAGCCAUGUUGAUGACUUAAAGCAUCCUCAGUCACGUCAGCUUUGGACCAAGGCCUUUUUUUAGAUAAUGACUUCUUGACAAUAUUUAUCAUUUCAUAAAUAUUAUCAAGGGGUCAAAAAAUUCGAAGAAGAAACGAGGGAAAAAGACUGACGAGAAAGGAAUUGCAUAUAUUUUUAUCAAUAUCUUUACUUUUUAGUAUGUAAUCCUCUAAGAAUCAAGCUAUUUGAUGGUCAUAGUAAAUACUCUGUAGUCCCACUCUUAAUAGAGCAUGUCCCAUAUUUAGUGUUUGUCUAGACUAAUCUAUCUUCCGUUAAUUGAGAAUUUAAAGGAAUAACAAUAAUUUCCAUAGUUCAUCAUAUAGUUCCCUUGAUGUGCUUCUAAAAGGUCUCAUCUAUUCUAUCAUUCGCCUAUUGCAUAUCAAGUUUCGACAUAACUGGCAACUUCUUAUUGCUUGCAAUCACUCUUAGAGGGCAACAUCUCCUAAACAAUGAGUAUAUUGUCUUGAAUUUGACAGCUAAUGACAAAAGCAUUUUGUUCUAUGUAGAUAAUAUCCAAAAUUAAUGAUUUUAAUCUAUUGGUCAUAACUUUGGAUAUAAUUUUGUAGACAAAAUUACACAGGCUAAUGGGACGAAACUAUUUUAGCUUUUCUAGGUAUGGUUUUUUUGGGAAUAAGUAUAAUUUAGGUUUUAUCAACUUUAGCAUUUAAGCAUCCAAUGUUCUAAAAGGAAGUUACUUCUUGAAAAACAUCAUGUCGAAUGUCCUCCUAGUGGUGUUUGAAAAAAUGUCCACUUAAACCAUCGGGAUUGGGGGCUUUGAGAGCUCCUAACUAGUGUACGGUUUCUGAAAUUUCUAGUAUGGUGAUCUUAGCUAUCAACUUUCAAUCCAUAUCUUCCAACACUAAAGUUGGAAUAUAUUCAAUAACUGGUUGGAAAUUUCUUUGUCUUGAUGACACAUAUAAACUCUUAAGGUAUUCCACCAUCAUUUGCUUUAGAGCACUCGGUUCACGCAUCCACUCCCCAUUAGUAUUAGCAGCAUAGAGAUUCUAUUUCUUACCUCUUUUGAAUAGUUGUUGCAUGAAAAAUUUUGGAGUUUUCAUUCCCCAUUUCAACCAACUAAUUCUAGAACACAUGUCCCAAAAAAAUUUCUUCACUUUUCCACAGUGAGCCAAUUUCCUUUUUUCAAACUCAAUAUCUUUUCUUUACUUUGGGAAAUAUCUGGGCUGUUUGUUAUAUUUUUUAUUUCCUGCUUUAGCGUCUCAAUUCUCCUAUGAGCGCUUUGAGAAUUUUUUCCUACUCCAAGAUGCAAGGGCUUAGGUCACUUUUCACAAUUUAGUUAUUAAAUCGGCUCCUUCUUGCUUGGGAGAUAACCAAACCCCAUUGACAAUAUUUCCAUACUCGUUAUCCUCUAAGCACUAUAUUUCAAAUCUGAAUUCUUUUGCCUUUUUCAUUGGUUGUGGGAAUAAUCUUAGCAAGUAGGACUAUGGUCUGACCAACUGCAAAUAAAGCAAAGACUUCCAUGUCUGGAAAAGCACUAUCCAUUCAAUCAUUCAUAAGACUCUAUCUAGUUUCUUUUUGACAGUCCUUGGGCUUCGUGGUCUUUUGCUUUUGGAUUCUUUAAUUGGCACUAAGUUGAAAUCAUAGUUCUUGAAUUCAAACAUCCACUUCUUUGGGCCUUGCAAACUGGACCAGGCCCUUCCAAUCAUGACCACAUUGGUGGAGCCUUGUUUAUCAUUUUCUCUUUUUUUUUUCUUAUAAAUUCAUUUUAAUAUACAAGGGUCUAUGCUUGAUUUGUCAACUAAAACUUAUGUGUCAAUAUUGACAUGGACAAAUUUUUAUUUUUUAUUUUUAUUUUUUCUUCACAUGGCCAACAAGACUGUUGACCUUUGGUAGAGGCAAUGGCCAACGAACCCCUCGCCAAGGGUGAGUAAGGGUUCGUUAUUUUACAAAAAUAAUAUUUACUAUAUACCAAAAUCAAGACUAGGUCAAACUUAAACAUGAAUGUUCCAUAUGAUAUUGAACUUUAACUGACAAUACUCAAUUCGAUAGUCUUAUAAGUCUAAUUGAGUUUUUCUUUUUAUAAAUUAGUUAGAUGAAAUUUCAAGCCCAAUCUAUUUAAUUGAAUCUAGGUGCAACUUUUGAAUACUUUGAUUUUCUUUAGUUGAGUUCAAGCAAGAAAUUCAAUACUUGAUCAAGCUAAGCUUGAGUGAAGUUUCAAGCAAUCAAACAUGUGAGUCGAGCAUGACAUUGCAUCAGCUCGUCUCAAUGUGAUUAUCCUUCUAUCUCGAGGACUAGGCCUAGGAUGUCAGCACUUAGACUUGAUACCUCAAAGGUGGAUUGACUUUUUCUUUUUGUAAAUUAUUUAAUACUUCUAGAUAAGAUUCCCUUGUGUAUGAAAUUUCAAGCUUUGAUCCAUUUAUACUUCAACAUAAUCAAAUUGAAUUCAAGUGAAACUUUUGAAUACUUCGAUUUUCCUUUCCAGUUGAAUUCAAGCACGAAAUUCAAUACUCGAUCAAGCUAAACUCGAGUGAAGUUUCAAGCGGUCAAACAUGUGAGUUGAGCUUGACUUUGCAUGAGCUCAUCUCAUUGCGAUUAUCCUUCUAUCUCGAGGACUAGGCCUAGGACAUUAGCGCUUAGACUUGAAACCUCAAAGGUCGAUUGUGUUAAGAUAUGAAAUCUUUUUGAAAUCUUUUUGAUAUCUUUUCGUAUUUCAUGUUAGCAUACCGGCUGUAUCAACUGUAGUUGACAUUCCAUCUGAAUGUCAACUACAGUUGGUACAGCCGGUAUGCUAACAUGAAAAAUUUCAUAUCUUAACACAAUCCACCCAUCUUUCAUAUUAGCAUACCAACCGAAGAUGAGUUGGCAUUUCAUGAUUCUUCCAUGAUCUACGGUUGGUAUGCUAAUAUAAAAUAUAAAAAGAUAUCAAAAAGAUUUCAUAUCUUAACAGGUUGUGCAAGAUCAUGGAAGAAUCAUGGAAUGCCAACUUAUUUACGGUUGGUAUGCUAAUACAAAAUACAAAAAGAUAUCAAAAAGAUUUUAUAUCUUGCGCAUCCUUGCGCGUGGACUGAGAGACACCAGGCGAACAGGUUAUCACGUGGGCCAGUGGCACCUUUUGUCUUCGAGGCCUCGGCCGAUUCUUCAUCGUUCCAGAUUCUUUGGUCGAUUGCCACGUGUUCUGGUGGAUCCGACGCUUCAGAAACUUCCGUUCUUUCUGCUUCCCUGGCUUCCUCUCCUCUAUAUUUUCUCCUCUCCUUUCUCCCUCUUCUCACUUUCUUCUUUCUCCUCCUCCAUACUUCUUCAAAACAAGAGUCAACUCAGAACCGCCUGGCAGCCACAAUCCAAGAUCUCUCUCUUCUCGCCCUCGACACCGUCAGGGCCGUUCGAUCCAUCGUCGUUACGGAUGAGCUUCAUUUACUUUUGCACAUCUAUUGUUUUCCGCCGAUCCCAAUGUCGAUCUCGUCCUCCACAUCCUCGCCGCCACGCCUUCCUUCCUCGUCAAGCAGCAUAUUUAUCUGAAAUCGAAAGCUGAAAACGUUUUCACCAACCAAAUGGCCCUGAGUCUGGUUCAAUAUUUUCCUGCGAAUGUGACAGGCUAAGAGCGCUUGUUUCUUUGAAGCGAGCGAGAGCGAGAGCCAAAGCAAAGGGAAGAGAUCGUUGACUUAGCUUCCGAUCGGGGAAGGCAAACCCGGGUCAGAGGCCGCCGAGCAUCUUUGAGAGCAAAGCCCACUCUGCUUCAGCUUUAAGCCCUUGAUUUUCUUAGCAGGACUCUCUCUCUCUCUCUCUCUCUCUCUCUCUCUUCCGAAGCUUGGCAUUCUAGAGUAGCACGUAUACCAUCAGCUCUUCUAAUGGCUGCUUCUUCGGAUGUGAAAAGGAAUUACCAUGUGUUCCUCAGUUUCAGAGGGACAGAUGUCCGCCACGGCUUCCUCAGUCAUCUCUAUGUGGCUCUGGACCAGAAAGGAAUAUACACUUUUGUGGAUAGCGAGGAGCUUAGGAAAGGAGAGGAAAUAUCGCCGACGCUCGUGAGGGUGAUCGAGGAAUCGCACAUCGCAAUCAUUGUCUUCUCUGAGAACUACGCCUCCUCACCGUGGUGUUUGGAAGAGCUCUUGAAAAUCAUGGAGUGCAAGGAGCAAAAUAACCUAAUGGUGUUCCCCGUGUUUUACAAAGUGGAACCGAGAGAAGUGAGAGGGGGGAGAGAGAGUUAUAAGAGAGCUAUGGACAACCAUGAGUCCAAGUUCGGGAAAGAGAAAGUGAAGAGAUGGAAGAAGGCUCUCUCUGAAGCCGGUAGCUUGUCUGGGUGGGAGUUGAAUGACAGGUACGCACAAAUGUGACAUGGUGUUAUGUCAUUGUUAGUUUGUGAUUGUCUGUUAGAUAUCAGAGUUCGAAGAUACAAAGUGGAGAUAAAUUAGACGGUGGACACAAAAGUCAAAUAACCAAAGCUAGUAGAUUUUUUGAAUUGAUUCUUGCUGUGUGGAUAAUGAGAUAUUUAUGUAACAUGUGUGAUUCAUAGUGCCCGAGUCAUUAUUGUCUUCAGAUUCAGGUUCUUUGUAAUUUUCCUUGCAUAGAUGUUGGCGCAGGUUCACCCACCUUUCAUCUUAUAUUGUGCUAAUCUUAUUAUGGAAUUUUACUUAUUUGAGAUGCUAAAACCUGUUUUUAUUUCUCUUGAAUGCUUAUCAGAAGUGAAGCGGAGCUCAUACAAUGCAUAUUAAAGGAAUUAUCAAUUCAUCUCAACCGAACGCCUUUACAUGUCGCUAAUUAUCCAGUCGGAGCAGAUUCCCAAGUUCAACAAAUUUUAUCGUUGUCAAAGAAAGAGUCAGAUGAUGAUGAUGUUCUCAUGAUAGGUUUAUGGGGGCCUGGAGGCAUAGGGAAGACAACAAUUGCCAAGGCCUUAUAUAAUGCUAUGGAGAGACAAUUUCAAGGUUGUAGUUUUUUGGAGCAAGUUAGAGAAAAAUCAAACCGAAGCGAUGGUCUUGCUACUUUACAAAAGGAUCUUCUAUCUGAGAUCCUGGUUCAUCCUUUAACGGUCUACAGUGUUGCUGGAGGAACUAGUUUGAUACAAGAAAGACUAUGUUGCAAGAAGGUUCUCCUGGUUCUUGAUGAUGUUGACCAUAUGAAUCAACUGAAUGCAUUAGCUGGAAAAGGCAAUUGGUUUGGAAAAGGAAGCAGAAUCAUUGUUACAACAAGAGAUAAACAAUUGCUGACUUCUCAUGACAUAAAUUGUGUGUAUGAAAUUCAAACUUUAGGAUACCAUGAAGCACAAGAUCUUUUUAGUCUGUGUGCUUUCCCAAAUAGCAAGAGUGUUGAAAUAAGAAGCGAUCUCAUAGAUAAAGCACUGCAUUAUGCCGACGGACUUCCAUUAGUCCUGGAAGUGUUGGGCUCAUUCUUACGUGGAAGAAAGGAACAUGCAUGGGAAAGUACAUUGCAUAAACUCGCCAAAACUCCUGAACCAACUAUCAAUCAAGUUCUCAAGAUAAGCUUCGAUGGAUUGGACGACAACGAGAAGGAGAUUUUCCUCGAUAUUGCUUGUUUCUUUAAGAGAAAAGAAAUGCAACACAUCGAGGAAGUUCUUGACAGCUGCGGUUUCAACACAACCAUAGGAAUGGAAAUUCUCAUCGAGAGGUCCUUGAUAAAAAAUGACAGGGGUUACCUUCAAAUGCAUGAUUUGGUUCAGUUGAUGGGUAUGAAUAUUGUUAAACAAGAAUCUCGUGAUGAUCCUGGGAAGUGUAGCAGAUUAUGGCUUUUGGAAGAUGUUGAGGACAUUUUUUAUCAUAAUACGAUAAAAGUUGUUUAUGUCAGUUUUGCUACAUUUCAGUUUAUAUUACUCUAAUUUGGACAGUAUAAUGUAAAUCUUAAAUGGAAAUUUUGUCUGACAACUGAAUUUGCUGUGUUAUGGAUAGGAGGCGGAUGCAGUAAAGGCCAUAGUACUGGAUUUGUCCCUACCAGAAGCGAUAAUCAUCAGUCCUGAUGCUUUCACAAAUAUGAAAAAGUUGAGAAUACUCAUUUUGCAUGGAGUGCAUAUCUCUUCACAAGCUCAAAUACGUCUCCCUAAUGAGCUAAGAUGGCUUGAAUGGCCCAAUGCCCCGAAUCUAGAAUUUGUCUCUAGUCCAAAUAAACUCAUGACACUCGAUGUCCCGUCAAGUCAUAUCAGGCAAUUAGGGGGCAACUCUCAGGUAAGCCCUUGUGAUGAUUAGUUUUUCCUUUUUAUAGCUAUAAAAAACAUUUGUAGAGCUUAAUGGCCGCACUAGUAUGUUUUUGCAGAAUUUUAGAAAGCUGAAGUCCAUCGAUUUCAGUGGAUGCAAGUCCUUGGUUAGUAUUCCCGACCUGUCAUCGGCUCCAAAUAUGGAGGAAUUGACUAUUGGUGGGUGUGAGAGCUUGGUGGAGGUUCACCCAUCCGUCGGAGAUCUUGUCAAGUUGAAAGUUUUGUCGGUAAUAUGUUGCUCUAAUCUUAUAAAUUUUCCUAACACGCUAAGGACUAAAUCUCUUCAAAUCCUUCAUCUCUUUCGUUGCUAUAAACUUGAGAAGUUCCCAGAUAUAGACGGAAAGAUGGAACAUUUGAAAGAACUUCGUCUAUUUGAUACGGCUAUUAAAGAACUCCCUUCAUCAAUUGAAAAUCUUGUCUCUGUGAAGUUGAUAGAUUUAUCAUAUUGCGAAAACCUCAUGAGGCUUCCGUCGCAAAUUUGUGAGUUGAAAAAUCUCGAGCACUUUUUAUCUUAUGGGCUGCUCGAAUUUAAUCACGUUUCCAAAAAACAUGGAGGAUUCAACUAAUCUCGAUGGCCGUCGGGGAUUCCGAAGACUAAUGCUCCUGACACUUCAAUGGUGCAAUCUAUCAGAAGUAGAGUUCCUUGAGAGUUUCUCCAGUUUUCCCGAAUUGCGGUCUCUAGAACUUGACUAUAACAAGUUUGCUGAUUUGCCAAGAUGCAUAAACAAGUACUAUCGUUUGAACUUCUUGGGUGUUAAAAGAUGCGAGCUACUACAAGAGAUUCCUCAGCUUCCACCAAAUGUCUCUACACUAUCAGCAGAUGGUUGCAAAUCUCUGCAAAAACUCCCAGACUUGGGUCAACUCUCCCACAUCAAACUGGUUCGCUUGUCUUCAUGUUGUGAAUUAUUCCGCAAAGGGGUCGAUAUGGAUGAUGUGGCUACAGCGUCAUUACUCGAGGUCUCUCUCUGUGUAUAUAUGUAUAUGUAUAUGUAUAUGUAUAUGUAUAUGUAUAUAACUUCAAAUGCUUGACAUGCGUACUUUCCAUGUGACAGAAACUGCCAAAGAUGAUAGGUCACGUCGACAUUUGCCUAAUUGGAAGAGAGAUGCCUAAAUGGAUUCUUCCCAGCGAAGAGGAUUCCAUAUCUUUCAUGAUUCCCCAGGAGUUGUACGGCGAGUUCAAAGGAGUAGCACUCUGUUUUGUUCUUGGUGCGGAGGAAGGAAAAGUGGUCAAUGCUACAUGUAUGGUCAGAACAUAUGUUAAUGGCUGGCCAGUGGGUGAAUGUUCGCAAAGUUUUUAUGAAAUGGAAACUGACCAUGUGUGGUUUCAUUAUUAUCCACAUUUUUUUCCACAUCUGCCAAAUGAUUGGAGCCAUUAUCAAGUUGGCCUCUGGGAAAACAAUCCAAGCAUAAAGAAGUGUGGAAUCCGUCCAAUAUGCAAUCAAAAGGACGAUGUUCUGAGGAUGGUGAUCCCAGCACCAUCAGCCGAUGGAAACAAAUUGGAGUUUUCAAUAGACUGCAUAAACGCAGAUGAUACAGAUAAAUUGUAUGCAGAGGCAAGCAAAAUACCUAUACCAAGAAGAAGAAGAGGGUCUUAACUACGGUGAGACUUUGAGUUCCAUUGUCUUUGCUUUUCCCUUUUCUGGGCCUUCACUAGAGAUUUGCAAGUGCCUGCUCCUUCAAUUAGAAUUCAAGAUCAUUAUCAAACAGGGGUUUCGCAUGAUUGAGGAACUUUUUUUUUUUUUUUUUUUUCCAUUGCUUCUCUAUGAUUUGUGAUCCAGAGUGUAUUAAACCAAAAAUUAAGAGGAUGCUUGUUAAAAUGGCCAUAGUCUUCCAAGUUGCUCCAUGUAAUUUAUCACAUAGGUCUCUCUCGCCUCUCUUAAUCCAAUUAAUGAUGUCAAUAUUUUGUACUUUAAAAUUCCGAGAUAGUAAGUUUUGCUCACUCUAGUAUAAUCUGUAUUAUAGUAAGUUUUGCUCAAUCUAGUAUAAUCUGUAUCUUUAGGAAAGUGUCAUUUGAAUUGUCUAAAAGAUCAAGAGGUCUACAGAGGGAAAAUUAGUUGAUUCCUCUGUUGUUGGUCGGCAGAUUGCAUUGGAUAGGUAUAAAGGGAUAGCGCUGGCUUCUAAGAAACUUUGCAUUUUGGCAAAGGAGGUUGACUUCAAGGAUUUUCAUAAAGCAAAUAGUACGUGGCAACCUUCUAAAAUAAGUAUUGCAAAGCAAUUUUUAGAAUGAGAAAAAAGAUUAAAAAGAGAGGACGAAGGAACUUGCAGGUACAUGUGAAAGCACAAGUGAGUGGCACAGCAGUAGGACCAAUGCCGACGUCGUGCGACCCUAGGCAACAUGCUGCUGAGGUCAACCAAACCUAGGGGACGCGACACCAGCGUUGUUUGACCCUAGGCGACACAACACUGAACGCCAAUGUCCCAUGACCUCAGUGGUGGAAUGUCGGAGCCAUAGGACUAGGCAAUGCGAAGCUCAACCUCCGCGAGCUAAAUCUAGCAUCAAGCAACCCUUGCAAAGCUUCUCGGAAUCAUGCAGCCCUCAACGAAGCUUUGCCGGUGUCCGUUAACCCAGCCUCCUUCAUGAAGCUUCCUAGCCAUGACCAACCAUGGCUUUCUCUGUCCUGUCCUAACCGAGGUUGAGGGACAAAACAUUAUUACAAAUAUAUUAAUGAUGGUAAGAUUGUAAGGAAAAAAAAAUUCAUUAAACUCCCGAACUUGCAUUCGGAAAAUACUAAAGCUCAAAGGUGAGACUUGCCUCGAGCUUCAAGCAUUUCAAAGUAGAACUUUUUGCUAGUCUUUGAAAUUGUGUUACCAAAUAUCAAAACUAAUUUUAAGAACUUUUCAAAGCCCAAAACAGCUUAAUUCAAGAUGACAGAGUACCCCAAUUUUUAAAGGCCAAAUUGGAUGGUAUUGAAAGGAGGGCAAAAUUGGAAUAGUGUAUCACUUUAGGGGUCCUUGUGAGUCAAAAAAUAAUUUUGAGUAAAUUAUUUAAGGGUGCCAAUUUAAGAUUUUCCGUGAAGUUAAUCUAAAUAAUAUCUAUGUAUUAUUUUGUUAUUCUUUUUUACAUUUUGAAGAGUUGAGUUUGAUUCAGUUGACAAGUGAAAUGCCAAGUAACAUGUUAAUAAUUUCCACCAAGAAUAUUAGUAAGUUCAUACUAGGAUUGUCUUUAUAUUCUUCAUUGGCUUACACCAAAGUUCAUUCUCUUCUCACUUUCUACUAUUAGUCACCCUUCAUCUAAGUCCAGUUGGCUUGAUAUCAUCUAUUUGAAAUGCAAAAUUCAAUAAACUAGAAAUGUUGUUGCCCAUCACUUUCUAAAGCCAAAUGUAAGAUUAUGAUAACCUCCAAAAAGGUGACCCAAUCACAUUAUUAGAGAAUACGAGAUAUCAAAUGCUCGUUACUAAACUAUUAAUUACAAUCAUUAAGGUUCGGAAUCAUGUACACCGAUAAUAUAUCUUUUCAACUCGAAUUAAAUCUACCACCCACGAUCAGAUUCCAAAAUUAUAGCAUCACCCCCUCCUUCUUGUCCUCCUUUUCCUCUCUCUCUAGAUAAAAAUAUGGAGAAGAGCUAUCAACACCAACGACCCUUUUUGAAAUGUACCAACCCAUUAAGAGUAUAUACUUCAUUUCACAUCUUAUUAUAAUUGGAGAAAUACUGCCUAUGGGAAACGAUUAAUACUCCUGGAAGUAAUAUGCCGAUUCUAUUUAGACAUCAAGUCAUCCCGUGUGAUGAACCUUUCCUAAUUCUUAUGAUUUAUAAUGUAUUAACAACGUUCAAGAGCAAAAUCAAAUGGAUGACUCCAACCUUUGCAAAGUAUGCAACCCAAAAUGUCAAGAAGCACGAAGCGAUGUUGGGCUACUACUCGAGCAAAAUCUUGGGCUGACCAGAAUUGAAACAGUCCCAGGUGAACUCCACCAAAUGGGCAACCAAGACUAAAAUGAUGGGCCGAUUGAAGAAUGGGCCAUCUUCAUACCUCAUAUCUAGAAUAAAUCGACAUUGGGUUGUCGACCUUCACAAGAUUAGAGAUCAUAUCAUCUCAUCAAUCAUAAAAUCCAUCCCCCAACUCCUCUCAAUUAAAAAUAAUGCGAUUGUUACUUACUAGUGGAAUCGAUGUUAAGAGAUUACUUGACCAAUUGAGAGCCAUCCAAUUCAACAUUUGAAUUAAAAACGAGAAAGAGCAACCAAAAAAAAAAAAAAAUCCUUCACAACACUUUCAAAGCAAUACUAAACUUUAUUUGAGGAAACUAUGAGAAAAUGACACCUGACUACUGCUGAAAAACCUAUUUAAAAUUAAUUUUUUGGGAAUAUCUUGGCCCAAAAAAUCCUUCUUAUAUUAAUUAACCUCCAUUUACUUGUAAAUUUUUUAUUGAAGAAAAAUGUCAAAAGUAGAGCGAUCUUGAUCUCGAAGCUCGCAUCAGCAAUAGCCACAUGGACGACUUCAAGCAUCCUCAAUUAUGUUAGGAUGGACCAGGCCUUGUUUGAGAAAAUGAAUUCAUGACAAUGUUUGUCAUUCCAUAAAUAUCGUCAAGGGGUCCAAACGAUCAAAAAAGUGGGGGAAAUUGAAAAAAAAAAAAAAGGAAGGGAAUUGCCUAUAUUUUCACUUUUGAUAUUUGCAAUUAGCUCCUAUAUUUUUAGUAUUUUAGUAUAUAAUCCUCUAAGUUAGUUUGUUUUUUCAUUGGUAAAUCUUUUUAUUAGAUUUAACAAGCUUAAUUCUCCAAAAUUUUGUUCCAUAACCAAUCUUCGACGAGCAUAGACAAAUUUUCACGACUAUCCAACGAAGCAGCAUCGACAAUUCCUACCAAAAAUGAGUGGACGCAAAAAUAAAUUGGCCAGAGCUAGGAAGAGAGCAAGAUCAAGCGGGAUAGAAUUAUCCUAAUGUUAUUGAUUUUUUUUUCACCUAAAAGAUAUUUUUAUUUUCUUCUUUGAUUUUGUGCUAAGUAAUUUAAUGGUCAAAUUUCACGUGUAAUUGACUUUUCUUUUCUCUUUUUUUAUCCAAUCAGUGUUCUCUCCGUGGCCGUUGAAUUCGGUUUAUUGUAAAAAAAAAAGCGGCACUUGAUUUCAACCGUCGAGUUGUCUCUGGAAAAAAAAAAAAAGGAAAAUGAUUAAAUCGUCUGACUACACGAGCCGUCCGAUUGUGUAUAUUUACAAGUGUAACCUUGGCUCUCCUGGAAAAGAGGGGAUUGUCGGAUUUUUCUUAAUUUUUGGUGUCCGUCGUCUCUCAAUUUUCCGAGCGCCUUAACCUAUUGAAAUGAAAUGUCUAUCAAAAAAAAAAAAAAAACCUGUUGAAAUGUAUUCAAGUUUUAAAUUUUAGUUUUCUAAUAUUACUUAAUGUACAAAAAAUGUUAACAUGUGGCAUUCUUUCUUCCUAUUUAGUGAGGUUAAAAAAAUAUUAUGCAAAAUAGAGUUUAUUAAUGCACGCCCAUAAUUCAUGGGUUUGUUAUUCUAUCACUACACUAAAUCCAGCCACAAAAUAAAAUUUAUUUUAAGUUAUUAAUGUCUGCUCACUUCAAGUAAUUUUACAAUGUUUUAUACCAAAUGAAGUAACUUUAGUAUGCUAAAAUGUCUCUUUAGUCUUUACCUACAAGGUUUACACUGGUUUCAUGUACAUUUAUUCUCUAUUAUAUUAUUUGUUUUUGGGGUUAGACAUUUUAACAUAUCACAAAGUCAAGUUCUAAACCAGUUUUAUUUUUUUCCACUCCUCGUUCGUUAAUUCCACAUCUUGUUCUCACGUUAAUUUUACACGCUAAUAAGCUUAUUAAAGAAUUACAUAUCACUUGUCUACGAAAUUUAUACGAGCCUUAUCAUCUCCCUAUGGAUCGCAAACAACAACAAAAAUAUAAUUUACUCCUUCAAGUGAAUGAUUACAGAAUACCAAUUGCUAAAAUUAAAAUGUCGAAGUUCACUGUAUGUGUCUUAAUUUUUUAAAUAACGAGUGAUUGACUUACACUUUACAAAAUGAACGUGAUGCAUUUUUACAUGUAAAAAAGAAAAAGUUUAACCUAGCUACGAAAGUGAGAUGAAAAAGAAAAUCAAAAUAAAUUGUUUAUCAAGCUCCUUUUGUUUUUUUUUUUUAGUUUAAAGUCUAAGUCUAGGUGGCAAGUACGCAAAGAUUGACAGGGUUGCGUUCUUUUAAAAUAAUAGUCCAGGAGGUACUUUGAGUAAUUAAAUGAUUAAUUCACACAACUGAUUUAGUAUUUGUUACAAAGUCACCGUUGACAAAAAAUUUUAGCGGUCAUGCCCAUUAUUGGCUUAUUGAUGAGGUCUUGUUGCUCAUGGAUAAGAUGAUUUGCAUGCAUUAAUAAGAUUUAGUCAAGUGAUGAUUCGUAUUCACUCUUGAAAAAAAUUAUACCGUAGAAAUAAUCUUAUUUAUUGUUAAAAAAAAAAUAAAAUUCCUGGAUGGGGGAGAGGGCUCUGUCGGCCCAACCUUCAAUGGCAAGUGGCCAACACGUGUAAAGAAAUGGGGUUGGAAAGAAAAACAAGAAAAAACUGCAAACGAAAGGCUGCAGUGCAAAUCCUACACGUUGUGAAAUAAAUUGUACGAAUGUGGGACAUGUACCGAUUCCCACCUUUUUAACGUGGUUUUACGUUACGGUUANNNNNNNNNNNNNNNNNNNNNNNNNNNNNNNNNNNNNNNNNNNNNNNNNNNNNNNNNNNNNNNNNNNNNNNNNNNNNNNNNNNNNNNNNNNNNNNNNNNNNNNNNNNNNNNNNNNNNNNNNNNNNNNNNNNNNNNNNNUAUAAUGGAAGGAAAAUAAAAAAAAAGUGACAUUCACACUUUUUUUUUUUUGGUACCCAGGGAACCUCCGUGUGCCGCUUCACAGCGGAGUAAACCCUGAGGUGACCUGGGCCCCCACCGCUGACCCAGAACCAUAGGUAAAUCGCACGUUAGCACUGAAGCAACGCGACCACGAAGUUUCGAACUCCUCCCCCAGCGGAUAGGGUACUAAGCACGAAGCCAACGCGGCCACCGCGGGCGGUGGUGACAUUCACACUUUUAUAUAUGGCAAUAUGCCAAUUGGAAAGAAGGUUUUUCAAUUUAUAAUAAGGAUUAAUUAGACAAUGCACAAACGAGUUCGGGUGAAACUUAAACAUGAAUGUAGCACACAAUAUUAAGCUCAAACUUGCUAAUACCCAAUUUGAUAGUCUCACAAGCCCAAUUAGGCUUAACUUACUUUUUGUCCAUUAUUUAAUAUAGUUAAGUGGAGUAAGUCAAAUUUGAAUAGUCCAAUUUUCUUUUUCAAGUUGAGUUUGAAUAAGAACUUUAGGCUUCGUUCAUUUUACGGAAAAUAACUUCUCGGAAAACGUUUUCCAAAAUAUAUUAAUAUAUACAUGUAUAUAUAGUGUUAAGACGUUUUUGUAUUUAAUUGCAAUGACACAUAAUAAUCUUAUACAAUACAUUUUAAUUAUCGUAGAAGUGCUCCUAAGAUACAAGUUUAUCAUAGAAGCAAAAUAAAAAAGUGACAUUCACACUUUUAUAUAUGGCAACUUGCCAAUUGGAUAGAAGGUUUUUCAAUUUAUAAUAAGGAUUAAUUAGACAAUGCAUAAACGAGUUCGAGUAAAACUUAAACAUGAACGUAGCACACAAUAUCAAGCUCAAACUCGCUAAUACCCAAUUUGAUAGUUUCCGGAGCCCAAUCAGGCUUAACUUACUUUUUGUCCAUUAUUUAAUAUAGUCAAGUGGAGUAAGUCAAAUUUGAAUAGUUUGAUUUUCUUUUUCAAGUUGAGUUUGAAAGAAUUUUAGGCUUUGUUCGUUUUACGGAAAAUAAUUUCGGGAAAAAUGUUUUCUGAAUUUUUCGGUAUUUGUUUCACAAAAAAUGAAUUGCUUAAGGAAAACAUUUUCCAUGAAGGGAAGAGAGUUUUCUAAACUAGGGGAAAAUGUUUUCCUCUUUUGAAAAGUGAAAAAUAUUUUCUUCAUUUGAUCUCUUUUAACUCACAUAUCUAUAGGCCUUCACUUCUUCCUCCUCUUCCUCCUUCUUUUUUAGUUUCCUUCUAAUUUGAAUUAUUUUUAAUUUUCUUUGUUUUCCCUCUUCUUCUUUAUUUUAAUAUUUUAAUUUUUUCUUUUUUUUCUUUUUUUAAAUUGAUUUUUUAAUUCCUUUUCUUUUUCUUCCCUUUUCUUUUUCUUCUUCCUUGGCCAAUCGCCGACCACGGCGGCGACCAAUAACCGGCCAUAGGCUAACUCCAGCCUCGCCCAAGGCCAGAUCUGGCGAGGGCAAGGCUCGAGGUCACUGAAUCUAGUGAGUCGCAAGCUCGCCAACCUUGGUGGAACUCAUCGGAUAGGGCGAGCCACAAGCUCGCAGCCCUUGAUGGAACUUGGGCUUGCUUGGAUUAGGUCAGCGAGCUUGUGGCUCGGCCAGUCUAGGAGAGCCCAAGCUCCGUUGAGGUUGAUAAGCUUGAGGCUUAGCCAAUCCAGGCAAGUCAUGUUCAUUGGUUGGCAAACUCGGGGAUCAUUUGGGCCUCGAGCUCGCUGAAUCUGGCGAUUGUGUCUUGGUCGACCACCAAGUAGCUGGCCACAUCGAGGCACACAGAGGUGGAGGAAGGAGGAGGAAGAAGGAGGGAGAAAAAGAAAAAAAGAGAAAGAAAAAUUAAAAAUAAUAAAAAAUAUAUUUUUAAAAAAUAAAAUAAUUAAAAAUUUAAUUUUUUAAAAAAAUAUGUAAAAAUUAAAAUUUAAUUUUUUUGGUCAAUUAAAAAUAUUUUUAAAAAUUAGUAAUUUUUUUUAAAAAAAAUCAAAUCAGAUAACGAACCAUAGAUAAUAUAUUUCACUCAAAUAUUAGGUUUCAACCAAAUACCAAAAAAUAUUGUUAUUUUCUUGGAAAAUGACUUUCUAAAAAAUAUUUUCCAAAAACGUGAUAUUGUUUGCGAAAUAAACAAACCCUUAAUACUUGAUUCAAUUCAAGUGAAGGUUUAAGCAUCAAGUUGUAUUAGCUCAACUCAAUUUGGAUUAUAUCUCCACAUUGAGACGAGAGACACCAGCUAAACAAGUUAUAGCAUGGGCCACCUAAGACCCUACCUUAAAAUGACGCGUCCGAUUACUCGAUCUCUUCCUAUAAAUUUCCGAUUGGAAAAAAAUUCAUUGGAUUACACGAAAAUGCGCACGAUGAUUUUCUGUUAGUGGCUUUGAUAAAUUGAUAGUACCUAUCCCCGGUUCCCGUACGAAGAAGGAAAAUAAAAAACAAAGUCGUUGCUCUCCCUGAUGGUGCGAGUGUCUUGGCUCACCGAGGGCACAAGUGUAAUUGCACGAGCGCCUAGCUUGGUCGGCUCAGGAUUUCGGCCUCUCGUGUAGGCCCCCUCCCCCAGAGACGAAUCACGGCCGUCGAUCAUACCCGGUCCGUGUGUCGGCACAUAGUGACCCGACACACGUGCGGAGUCUCAUUUACGUGCUUUCCCUCCCACCAGGCAACGACCCAUCCCUGUCUCUGUUGGACCUAGGGGUGAGCAUGGUCCGGGUUGGUCCGGGCCACCCCCUAACUCGAGAACCAACCCGUACAGUGUCGGUCCUCAAUUUUUAGGACCGAGGACCGACCCUAUUGAGCCUGGGACCAAGGACCGAACCGACCCAAUGGGUUCGGUCCAGUUCCAGGGUCAACCCGGGACCGAUCGAUAAUUUUUUUCGUCUUAUUUUUUAUACUUCCUAAAAAAGCAAACCUACAAAUUCAAAUUACACAUCCAUCAACAAUACGGUAUUGUGCAACUAAACUAUAAUAUACCAAUACAUAUUUAGCAAAUUUAAGAUGACACAAUAAUAGAAAUUUCGUAUCCACUAAUCGCUCAUUGAGAUAUGGGACAAGAUGGAAAGUUCUUGUAAUCAUCUAUCUUUAAUAUUUAUAACACCAUAUGCAAAAGCGUUUUCCUGAUCAUGUAGAGUCUACUCAACCAGAAAAUGAGCUUUACAUCACUUGACUAGCAUUUGAUCAUGUAAAGUCUACUUAACCAAAAAAUGAGCUUCACACCACUUGACUAGCAUUUGAUCAUGUAGAGUCUACUUAACCAAAAAAUGAGCUUCACACCACUUGAUUAGCAAAUCAUCAUAGCAACUGCAGUACUACUCUACUCUUCAAAAACUUCUACCAUUUGACACAAAUUGAAAAGCAAAAUGCAGCUGAAAUUCAUUAGUAAAAUACAAUUAAAUCAUAAAAAGUUCAAAAUACUUAAUAUAAACCAUGAAUAUAUAACUUCACAUCUUGUUAAUUCACUUGAACUUCUAAACACUUGAAAACAAAACAAACGACACAUAAUUAAUACUUAAAAAAAGUUUUAAAUUGAAAUUACUAUUAGUGUUAUUGAUAGAACAUCUCAAUAUAAUAUAAUAUAAUAGACAUUUUACUUGGGUUUGAAUAUAUAAAAGAAUUAUAAAUAAUAUAAUACAAUAUACAGGGUUGGUCCAGGGUUGGACCGACCCAAAACUCUUAAGACCGAGGACCAACCCGCACAGUGUUGGUCCUGGAAUUUCAGGACCAAGGACCGACCCAGUCCCCUUGGGAACCGGACCAGGACUGGCAGGGUUGGGCUGGUCCAGGGUCGGUCUAAGGUCGACCCUAAACCGCUGCUCGCCCCUAGUUGGACCCCACUACAUAUCCCCAUCCCUGGGCCAUGGCCCCCACCAUACGCUUAUCCCGAAUCUAAUCUCAGCCCGUUUCCAAUUUGUUAUUAAAAAGAAAUUGAGCAUAAAUGAAAAUAAAAAGGGAAAAUGACACUGCGGUUUCUGAAAUUUAGCCCAACAAAUAAUGAUGUCCCUGAACUUUCAAUUUGUUCAAUAUGAUCCUUAAAAUUUAUAUGCAACCUAGUUCUAUACGAAAAUGUUCAAACUUGAAUUAUUGAGACGAUAGCUAGGGGUGAUUGAUUUCAGGGUAGGUAAGUUCUAAAGUUGGAAUAUGAAUUCUACCUUAUUAUAACCGGUUUCUAUUUUUUGGACCCUGGAACCUAUCAUGUUCUCUAUUUUUCCGAUCUAGUUCGAGGGUUCACUCGAGAAUUUGUUUUAUCUUUUUUUUUUUUCCUUUUUUUUUACUGCAAAAUCAUAUGGGAUUAUGAGUAACGAAAUGAUUUAAAGUAAAAGAUGAAUAACCAAAAUCCUAAUAUACCAAAAACAACAAUUUGAAUACAUAGUCAAGUACAAUUAUAAACAAUAAAAAAGUUCAAACGCGUAAUACAAAACAUAAAUUCCCCAUUCAUCCAUAAAAAUUAAAUGAAAAUGAAAGACUAGCAAAAAGUUUCUAAAAAGGACAAAAGACGAAAGGGUGCUCAGGUUAAAAUUUAGGAAUAAAAACAAUUAGAAUUUAAGCUUUUUAACUUAUAAAAUAGAUUCCAAAGUAGAGUGAAAUCGGUGGAUCUUUACUUGAAACCUAUUCCUAGAACUAUUUCAAGGAGAAUCGAUUCUUAGACAUAUUUUUUUCAAAAGUUGGAUCCAAUUUCUAAGUAGAAUCGGUUUAGUUGCACAGCCCUAAUAACAACAUUAAGCAUCUUCAUAUAACACAGGAACUAACUUGAAUAUGUACUAAAAUUUUAAGGAUCAUAUUAAAUAAAUUAAAAAUUCAAGGACUGCAUUAUAAAUUAAGUCAAAAUUCAAAGACUAUUUAUGUCAUUAUCCAAAAUUGAUAUCAAUAUCCAUUUAAAAAUUUUAAAAGAGCAAUUUGCUUUUAAGUUAGCAAUUUUUUUUAAUAUUAUCAAAGCACUAUUAAUAACCGGAAAGUCCGCCACCACAGAAACAUUAUCGCUAUCUCCCCCUAUCUUAAAGUCUCAAAGCUCAAAAGGAAAAAAAAUAUUAACAGCGCUCAGAGCUUCUCACUCGAUAAACCCUCGCGGCUGCUUUCGUCUUCCGAGUCCUUGGCCGAUUCAUCAUCGUUCCAGAUUCGUCGGUCGAUCACGUCGAUCUCGCCCUCCAAACCCUGAGAGCGCUUGUUUCUUUGAAGCGAGCGAGAGCCAGAGCCGGGGCAUAGGGAAGAGAUCCUCGACUUCACUGCCGAUCGGGGAAGGGCAACCCCAGGUCAGAGGCCGCCCAGCAUCUCCGAGAGCAAAGCCCACUCUGCUUCUGCUUUAAGCCCUUGAUUUUCUUAGCAAGAAUCUUUCUCUCUCUCUCUCUCUCUGUUCCGAAGCUUGGCAUUCUAGUGAAGCACAUGUACCAUCAGCUCUUCUAACGGUUGCUUCUUCGAAUAUGAAAAGGAAUUACCAUGUGUUCCUCAGUUUCAGAGGGACAGAUGUCCGCCAAGGCUUCCUCAGUCAUCUCUACGCGGCUCUGGACCAGAAAGGAAUAUAUACUUUUGUGGAUAGCGAGGAGCUUAGGAAAGGAGAGGAAAUAUCUCAUGAGGGCGAUUGAGGAAUCGCACGUUGCGAUCAUCGUUUUCUCUGAGCACUACGCUUCCUCACGGUGGUGUUUGGAAGAGCUCUUGAAAAUCAUGGAGUGCAAGGACAAAAAUGGCCUGAAGGUGUUCCCUGUGUUUUACAAGGUGGAACCCAGAGAAGUGAGAGAGGGGAGAGAGAGUUAUAAGAGAGCUAUGGAUAACCAUGAGUCCAAGUUCGGGAAGGAUUCAGAGAAAGUGAAGAGAUGGAAGAAGGCUCUCUCUGAAGCCAGUAGCUUGUCUGGGUGGGAGUUGACUGACAGGUACGCACAAAUGUGACAAUGGUGUUUUGUGAUUAUUAGCUCGUGAUUGUCUGCUAGAUAUCAGAUCAUAUGCACUUUUUUGGAUCUUCAAUUGAAGAUACAAAGUGGAGAUAAAUUAGACAGUAGACACAUGAUCAAAUAACCAAAGCUCGUAGAUUCUUUGAAUUGAUUCUUGCUGUGUGGAUAAUGAGAAAUUUAUCAAACAUAAAUAGUGCGAUUCAUAGUGCCUUAGUCAUUAUUGUCUUCAGAUUCAAGUUCUUUGUAAUUUUCCUCGCGUAGAUGUUGGCGCAGGUUCACCCACUUUUCAUCUUAUUAUUUACUAUUCUUCUUAUGAAAUUUUCCUUAUCACGUCGGAGGUUGAAUUCCUGCUAUGGCUUUGAAAUGCUAAAACGGGUUUUUUCUAUCUUUUGAGUACUUAUUAGAGAUGAAGCAGAUCUCAUACAAUGCAUCGCGAAGGAAUUAUCGAUUCGUCUCAACCAAACACCCUUACAUGUCGCUAAGUAUCCGGUUGGAAUAGAUUAUCAAGUUCAAAAACUGAUAUGUUUGUCACAGAAAGAGUCGACUGAUGAUGAUGUUCUGAUGAUAGGUCUAUGGGGACCUGGAGGCAUAGGGAAGACAGCAAUUGCCAAGGCCCUAUAUAAUGCUAUGAUGAGACAAUUUCGGGUUUGUAGUUUUUUGGAGCAAGUUAGAGAAAAAUCACACCAAAGCGGUGGUCUUGUUUCUUUACAAAAAGAUCUUCUAUCUGAGAUCCUCGUUCAUCCUUUAACGGUCUACAGUGUCGCUGGAGGAAUUAGUUUGAUACAAGAAAGACUAUGUUGCAAGAAGGUUCUCCUGGUUCUUGAUGAUGUUGACCAUAUGAAUCAACUGAAUGCAUUAGCUGGAAAAGGCAAUUGGUUUGGAAAAGGAAGUAUAAUCAUUGUUACAACAAGAAAUAAACAAUUGCUGACUUCUCAUGGCAUAAAUCGUGUGCAUAGAAUUCAAACUUUAGGAUGUUGUGAAGCACGAGACCUUUUUUGUCUGCAUGCUUUCCCAGACAAUGAGAGUGUUGAAGUAGGAGUGGAUCUCAUAGAUAGAGCACUGCAUUAUUGUGACGGCCUUCCGUUAGCCCUCGAAGUCUUGGGCUCAUUCUUAUGUGGAAGAAACGAAGCUGCAUGGGAAAGUGCAUUGCAUAAACUUUCCAAAAGUCCUGACCAAAUUAUUAAUCAAGUUCUCAAGACAAGCUUUGAUGGAUUGGAGAACAAUGAGAGGGAGAUUUUCCUCGAUAUUGCUUGUUUCUUUAAGGGAAAGGGAAUAGAAUACAUCAAGGAAGUUCUUGAUGACUCUGGUUUUAACACAACCAUAGGAAUAGAAAUUCUCAUCGAGAGGUCCUUGAUAAAAAAUGAGUAUGGAACCCUGCAAAUGCAUGAUUUGAUUCAGUUGAUGGGUAAGGAUAUUGUUAAUGAGGAAUGGCCUGAUAAUCCUGGGAAACGCAGCAGAUUAUGGCUUUUCGAAAAUGUUGAGGAAGUUCUCUAUGAAGAUACAGUAAAAGUUGUUCAUGUCCAUUUUGCAACAUCUCAGUUAUUUACUUUGCUCUGAUUUGGAUUGUAAUAUGUAAAUUUCAAUUGAAAAUUUUGUCUGACGAUUGAAUUUGCUCUGUUAUGGAUAGGUAAUGGAUGCAGUAAAGGCCAUAGUAUUGAACUUGGCCACACCAAAAGAGAUGACCAUUAGUCCUUGUGCUUUCAAAAAAAUGAAAAGGUUGAGAAUGCUCAUCUUGCACAAAGUGCAUAUCUCUUCACAAGGUCCUGUACGCCUCCCUAAUGCGCUAAGAUGGCUUGAAUGGCCCAAUGCCCUGCAUCUAGAAUUUGGCCCUGGUCCAAAGAAACUGGCAAGACUCCGUUUUCAGAACAGUCAUAUCAAACAAUUAGUAGGCAACUGUCAGGUAAGCCCUUAUGAUGAUCAGCUUUCCCUUUUCAAAGCUAUGAAAAUAUUUCAGAGCUUAAUGACUGCACCAGUAUGUUUUUGCAGAAUUUUAUAUGUUUGAAGUCCAUUGAGUUCCGGGAUUGCAAGUCCCUGGCUAGUAUUCCUGACAUUUCAUCGGCUCCACUUCUGGAGAGCUUAGAUCUUUUCAGUUGCAAAAGCUUGGUAGAGGUUCACCAAUCCGUCGGAGAUCUUGACAAGUUGAAACAUUUGAAUAUAUCAAGUUGCUCCAAUCUUCGGAUCUUUCCAAACACACUCAAGACAAAGUCUCUUCAAUGGCUUGAUUUCUCUGGUUGCUCUAAACUUGAGAAAUGCCCUGAUAUUCUGGAAAAGAUGGAACACCUAAUAUAUUUUUUUCUAAAAGGGACAGCUAUUAAAGAACUCCCUGCAUCAAUUGAAAAUCUCGUCUCUAUAGAGCAGAUAGAUUUAGGUUGUUGCAAUAACCUCACAAGGCUUCCAUCGAGCAUUCAUAAGUUGAAAAAUCUCANNNNNNNNNNNNNNNNNNNNNNNNNNNNNNNNNNNNNNNNNNNNNNNNNNNNNNNNNNNNNNNNNNNNNNNNNNNNNNNNNNNNNNNNNNNNNNNNNNNNUUGAUCCUGAUGACGAUUUGGGAUUCCCAAGUUUAAGGUGGCUAGACCUCUCUCACUGCAAUCUAUCAAAAGCAGAGUUUCUUGAGAAUGCUUCCAGUUGUCCUGUAUUGACGUGCCUAAAUCUUACAAAUAACAAAUUUACUCAUCUUCCUACAUGCAUCAACAAGUAUGAUUAUUGGAAAGACUUGUUUGUUUAUAGCUGCAAGCAAAGCAAAGGGGUCAGUGUGGCUGAUGCAUCAUCACCCAAGGUCUCUCUCUCUCUCUCUCUCUCUCUCUCUCUCUCUCUCUCUCUCUCUCUCUCUCAUUUUGAAUGUUUGAUACGUGUACUAUCUGUAUGACAGGAAGUUGAGAUUCUUGUAAAUGGAAGAGAGAUGCCUGAAUGGAUUCUCCAUUGUAAAGAGGACAGCAUAUCUUUCAUGGUUCCCCCAGACUUAUGUGACAAGAUCUUGGGACUAGCAAUCUGUGUUGUUCUUCGCCAGAAUAAGAAAGGCUCAUUCGACGAUUCGUCCUGUUCAUUUGACAUCAGCUUGUUUGUAAAUGGCAUAAGAUCGUAUUACCGUUUGAUAUUUUUUGAUCCAUUGGAAUCCGAUCAUGUGAGUCUUGUUUAUUUCCCAAGCAACAGAAAGAUAGAAGAGAAGCCUCUGCAAAACGAUUGGAGCCAUAUCCAAGUUUGCCUCAGGGCACUGGAAGGAACCAUAAAGAAGCGUGGAUUCCGUCUAAUAUGCGAGCAACAGGAGGAUGAUCUGAGGGUCUGUUUUCCAACACCAUCGGCAGAUGGAAACAGAUUGGAGUUUCAAGGAAAGAUACUCAAAGGAAGACAAUUAUCAAUAGACACCGAGGAAGAAGAUAGGCCACUGGAACAGAACUCCACAAAGAAGAUGAGACGGUCUUAGCAAUGGCGAGAGUAUGGGUUGAACUCGCACCAACUGUUGAGGUAGCGAUUCUUGGGGAUGCGAACCGGUGAUCUUGAUUUCAAUGCCUCUUGCUUUUCCCUUUUUUUCUCGUCUCUACUAAAAAUUUGCAAUUGUCUGCUCCUUCAAUUAGUCGCGUAGUGCUACUGACAUGGUUGAGGAACUUUUCAUUUCCCUCUCGAUCUCUAUGAUCUGUGAUGCAAGAGUGCACCAAUCCAAUAUCAAGUGGAAUGCUUGCUGAAUGGCCAUUGUCUUCCAAGUUCAGUGAGAUAUAUCACGUAGAACUCUUGUCACCUCUCUUAAUCAAAUUAAUGAUGCCGAUGCUUCAUAUCCUAGAAUUCUUAGAUAGUAAAGCUUUACUUCUCGAGGAAAGUGUUGAUCUAAUUGUCUCAAAAAUCGAAAGGUUUACACGGGAAUGAUUAGUUGAUUCCUUUGCUGUUCCUAGGCAGAUUGCGUUGGAUAGAUACCAAGGGAGAGAUCUAGCUUCUGAGGCUUUGCGGAUAAGCAAAGGGUACUGACUUAAAAGAUUUUCAUGAAAAGCGAAUGGUGUUUAACAAACGCCUUGUAAAAUAUUUAUUACAGAACAAUUUUUAGUAUAAAGAAAAAAAAAUAGAGAAGGAACUUGCAGUUGUAUAUGAAAGCACAAGCGGGGGCGACGCAAAAGUUGGACUGGUGCUGACAUUGUGCAACCCUAGGCAAGGCACCUCUAAAGUUGAGCAAACCCGUCGAUGCGACAUUGAGCUACACUGAAACUAAGCAACACAAUACUAGUGUCACGCAACCCCAAGUAAUAGAAUGCCGGGGCCACACUACUAGGCAAUGCGACGCUUGACAACCUUGGCAAGCUAGAUCUGACAUCAAGUGACCCUCGCAAAGCUCCUCAAUGUUGCGUGACCCUCGACAAAGCUUUGCUGAUGUCUUUCAACCCUCUACAAAGCUGCACCUGCAUCCCUCGGUCCCUCUUCUAAGCUUCCCGGCCAUGAUCAAACACAUCUUUGUCUCUCUUAUCCAAGGUUGAGGGGUAAAAUAUGAUUGCAAAUGUAUUAGUGAUGGUAAGAUUGGAAGAAAAAAACUUUAUUAAACCCCUAAACUUGCAUUUCAAGAAUGCUAGAGCCCAUACUCGGAGGCUUACCUUGAACUUUGAGCGUUUUCAAAGCAAAACUUUGGAUCAAAAUCUUUGAAAUUGUGUUAUCAUACAUCAAAUCUUUAGCUCAAGGCCCCUUGAAGGUCCAAAAUAGCUUAAUUCAAGAUGACUGAGCACUCAAAUUUUUAACAGCAAAAUUGGACGGGAUUGAAACAAAGGGUAAAAUUGAAAUACCGGUACCAAUUAAGGGGUUUUUAUGAGUCCAAUUUUUUUUUUAAAGUAAAUAUUUUUGAGUAGUACCAAUUGAAGAUAUUUUUUUAUAUUAAUCCUAGUAACAUAUAUGUAUUAUUUCCUUUCUUUUUCCCCUUUUCAGUAGUCAAGUCCCAUUUCAUUGGGCAAGUGAAAUGCCAAGUGGCAUUUUGAUAAUUUCCUCUCAGAAUCUUGGUAAGUCAAGUUCCUACUAGUAUUGCCUUUGUAUUCUUCAUUGGCUUUCACUAAAGUUCAUUCUCCUUAUACUUUCCCUCCCAUCAGUUGCCCUUGGUUUUAGUCUUGGUGGUCCCAAGUUGUCCAUUCUUAAAUGCAUAAUUCAAUAAAGUAGAAAUGAUAUCGCCAAUCACUUUCUAAAGGCAAGAAUUGGUAAGAAUAGACGAUUACUGUAGUCUCCGCACAAGCAACAUAAUCACAUCACGAGUGAAUAUGAGAUGUCAAAUGCUCAUUACUAUACUAUCACUUACAAUCAUUAAGGAUCUAAGAUUAUACAAAUUGUGAUGUCUUAUGUCUUUUUUGAAUAUCUAAUUUUUUGAAUUGUAACACGUGUUCAUCUCACAUAUAUUUACCACAAAUGAUCAAAUUUCAAAAUCAUAUGGCAUCACCAUCUUCUUUCCUCCCCUCCUCCCCCUCCUCUUUCCUUCCCUCUCUCUCUCUCUCUCUCUCUCUCUCUCUCUCUCUCUCUCUCUCUCUCUCUCUCUAACACAAGUACAAGCACAAAAUAAUUUAUACUACCAAAGAAUAGGAAAGAACUACCAACGCUAGUGGCUCUUUUUGAGGUGUAACCCCAUAAAAGAGAAUGUACUUAAUAAACAUUGACUCUUUUCGAAUCUUAUUUUAUGGGAGCAACACCACCGAGAGAAAAUAAUUAAUAAAAACCGAAGUAACAUAAAGAUUUUAUUUAGACAUCCAAUCAUUCCGUUUUUUAUGAGCCUUUCCUAGUUCUUGUAACUUAUUUUGCAUUAACAACGUUCAAGAACAAAUUCAAAAGGAUGAGCAAUGUUGGGCAACUACUCGAGCAAAAUCUUGGGCCGACCAGAAUUGAAACAGUCUCAGGUCAACGCCACCAAAUGGGCAACCAAGACUGAAAUGAUGGGCUGAUCCUCUAGCAGGACUGGAGAAUGGGCCAUCUUCACUCCUCAAAUCUAAAAUAAAUUGACAUUUGGUUAUCCACCUUACCAAGAUUAGAGAUCAUAAUUCAACAAAAAAUUCAACCCCCAACUCCUCUCAAGUAAAAAUAAUGCGAUAGUUACUUACUAGUGGAAUCAAUGUUAGGACAUCACUUGACCAAUUGAGAGUUGUUGCAUUCAACAUUUGAAUGAAAAACCACAAACAGCAACAACAACAACAACAACAACAAAAAUCCCCUUUUCACAACACUUUCAAAGCAGUAUUGAACUUUAUUUGAGGAAACUAUUAGAAAUUGGCACCCAACUACUGCUGAAAAACCUAUUUGAAAUUAAUUUUUGGGAAAUAUCUUGGCCAAAAAAAUCCUUCUUAAAUUAAUUAACUUCUAUCAACUAGUAAAUUUUAAUUGAAGACAAAUGUCAAAAGUGGAGAGGUAAUGAUCUUGAAUCUUACAUCAAUGAUAGUGACAUCGACGACUUCAGCAUCCCUCAAGGGGUCCAGAGAUCUAAGAAGUAGGGAAAAAUGAAAAGAGAAAGAAUUGCGUAUUUUUUCACUUUGAUAGUUGCAAUUAGCUCCUAUAUUUUACUAAGAAGUAGGGAAAAAUGAAAAAGAAGAAAGAAAUUGCGUAUUUUUCACUUUUGAUCAUUGCAAUUAGCUCCUAUAUUUUUAGUUUUUUAGUGUAUAAUCCUCUUAGUUUUUUUUUUCAUUGGUGACAAUAUGAUUUUUUUCAUUAGAUUUAACAAGCUUGAUGCUCAAAAUUUUGUUCCAAAACUGAUCUUCAAUAAGCGUAGGCAAAUCUUUGCGACAAUAUGACUAAGUAGCANNNNNNNNNNNNNNNNNNNNNNNNNNNNNNNNNNNNNNNNNNNNNNNNNNNNNNNNNNNNNNNNNNNNNNNNNNNNNNNNNNNNNNNNNNNNNNNNNNNNNNNNNNNNNNNNNNNNNNNNNNNNNNNNNNNNNNNNNNNNNNNNNNNNNNNNNNNNNNNNNNNNNNNNNNNNNNNNNNNNNNNNNNNNNNNNNNNNNNNNNNNNNNNNNNNNNNNNNNNNNNNNNNNNNNNNNNNNNNNNNNNNNNNNNNNNNNNNNNNNNNNNNNNNNNNNNNNNNNNNNNNNNNNNNNNNNNNNNNNNNNNNNNNNNNNNNNNNNNNNNNNNNNNNNNNNNNNNNNNNNNNUAUUUACGAGUGUAACCUUGGCUAUCCUGGAAAAGAGGGGAUGUCGGAAUUUUCUUAAUUUUUGGUGUCCAUCGUCUCUUAACUUUCCAAACUCCUUAACCUGUUGCAUGCCAUUCAGGUUUUAUAUUUUAGUUUUCUAAUAUUAGUUAAUGUACAAAAAAUGUUAACCCGUGGCAUUCUUUCUUCCUAUUUGGUGAGGUUAAAAAAAUCUCAUGCAAAAUAGAGUUUAUUAAUGUACACUUGUAAUUCAUGGGUGUUGGGAAUAACGGAUUCCCGAAAACCGGAUUCGACACUGAAUCGAACCCCUAAAUCAAUGCGGAAGACGAGGCCCAGGAAAAUCACGUAUCACCGAUCGUAAAGCACACCACGGAUUCGAGCGUACCUUGUUAGCCACAGAUUAGACACCAACGCCGAUAGAGGAAGAGAAACUAGGCCUUGUUCAAUCCGAGGAGGCAAAAUCCUUCAAGCGCUUCACUGGUUUCGCUUUAAAGAAAAACGAGAGAGAGAGAGAGAGAGUACGUAGAGAGAAAGCGUACGUCUUUUUCUAAAAACAAAACGGUGCCUUUUUCUCUCUCUCUCUCCUCCCUUUUAUACCUCUCCCCUUUCAUGGGCCCUAUUCCCGUGGGUCGAGCUUUAUGGGCCCAACUUGGGCGGACGGGCCUUAAGCCCAUCUCGUAUAAAACCAUCAUCUCCCACUGGCACAUGGUGGGCCGAACAUGAUUCUCUUUACCUCUCUUCAACAUUCAUACCGGUGAAUAAUCCGUGCGACCAGCAUACUUUGAGAGCUCGUUGCUAUACAUCUGUUAGGAAUAUAUAGCAACUCAUAAUGAGCGUCACACUCCGAGUAGAUUUAGUAUGCAAUACCCUAGAUCGAUCGAUCACAUUUUAUAUCUCUUUUGAUCUCUUUUAAACAUGAUAUAUAUAUUGUAUUCACAAUUAUAAUUAUCACAAAGACAGUCAUAAUUGGUCGACCAGUGAAUACAAAACUAUAAUGUGAUUCUCCAAAAUCGAUCUUCCUCUUUCCUUCAAAUUCUCAAUUUCAGUUCAGCUUGCUUUUCUAGAAAUGCCCCAUUAGAUCGAAUCAUCUCAUGACUAUUGGCAACACCCUAAGAUAGCAAACACUAAAUAGAAAUCUUGAGAAUAAGUAAGAGUCAUGAGGGGACUAAAAAUUGAGGAACUCUUUUCCUUAAGAGUCUCACACAUCAUAAAAGUUGAGAUCAAACUUUUUGCCACUCUUAUUGGUCGUCUCAUGCAUAUGUAGUAUGAAAUACGUAUUACGGUAUUAACUCCUUUCCCAUGGAGCGUAUGUCUACACCUUUCAAUACCGUACAGAUGAUAGUUCAGACAUACCCAAUGUCUAACUUGAGUUCACGUAUCUACUCAUUUACAAAAUUCAUCAGAACUCACAUCUGGCAUCUUAGACAGAUAAAGUAAAAUAUGUGGGGUAUUUUACUUUCGGACAUAGUAAGUAUUAUGUCCUCAUCUUAACACUCAGUUAAGGCAAUAUACGUAUUUUAAGCUUGAGCUCUCGAUUAUCACCUAGAUAAUAAGCUUAAAAACAGUCUCAUCUCUAUUUAUCACAUAGUAAAUAGAGGCGAUUACCUGUGUGAGUGGGCUAAUCUUAUAUCUGUCCGACAUACUUUCUCAAAAUAAUGCACUUAGCAUUAAGAUACAUAAAGAUCAAACAAAGAAUCAUAGGCAUUAAUGAUGAAAACACAAAUUCAUCAAAUGUGAACACUUAGGGAAAUUACAAUAUUUAGUACAUCAGCCUCUACACAAUCCUAGAGAUUUCAUAUAGCCACAAAACACAUCUCUAGGUAUUGGGUUUGUCAUAGGAUCUGCUACCAUUUUAUGCGUAAUAUAUACUCUAGGUUCACAUCUUUUCGUGCAACCAUAUCCAUAACAAAAUUAUACUUGGUAUCUAUAGGUUUGGUCUUGUCAUGAUAUUUUGGAUUUUUGGUGUACGCUUUUGUUGCUUGGCUACCACAGUUAACCAACAAUGAAUUUGCAGCACUUCCAAUAACACCUAAAUGAUCCAAAAAAUCUCUUAAGCCAAACACCUUUUUAUACUGCUGCUGAUAAUGUCACGAACUCAACUUUUAUCGUGGACAAGGCUAUACAUUUUUGUUUCUUACUGCUCCAACAUAUGAUGCCAUUAUUCGGUAAGAAAACAAACCCAGAGGUAGAUUUUCUUUCAUCUAAAUCUCCUCCCCAAUCAGUAUCAGAAUAGCCUUUGAAUUGCAGAUCCUUUCCUUAAUAACUCAGCGUAUAAUCAGCAGUUCCCUUUAAAUACCUUAGUAUUCUUUUAACGGCUUUCCAACCUGCUUGACCUGGGUUGGAUUGGGUAUCUACUCACCAUUCCAACUGCAUAACAUAUGUCANNNNNNNNNNNNNNNNNNNNNNNNNNNNNNNNNNNNNNNNNNNNNNNNNNNNNNNNNNNNNNNNNNNNNNNNNNNNNNNNNNNNNNNNNNNNNNNNNNNNNNNNNNNNNNNNNNNNNNCCUUUGCAUAGGAGUGUCUAUGGGUUUACAAUCUUGCAUACGAAAUCGUUCAAGAACCUUAUUUAUAUAGAUUUCUUGCGAAAGAGAUAACGAUCUCUUCGAACGAUCUCUUGAAAUCUUAACUCCAAGAAUGUAUGCAGCCUCACCCAUAUCCUUCAUCUCAAAGUUAGAAGACAACCAACUCUUGACAGUAUUAACAAACUCUCUAUUGCUUCCAGCAAUUAGUAUAUCAUCAACAUAAAAUGAUAUGAUCACAAAUUGAUCCUUGGAUCUUUUGAUAUAUACAUAAUGAUCCUCAUCAAUCAUUGUAAAAUCAUAUGCCAUUAUGGCAUUAUGAAAACAUAUAUACCAUUGUCUUGAUGACUGCUUGAGGCCAUAUAUCGAUCCCCAAAAUCGACAUACUUUUUCUUCUUGGCCUUUCACUAUGAAACCAACAGGUUGUUCCAUAUAUAUUCUUCCUCUAAUUCUCCAUUGAGGAAAGCAGUCUUUACAUCCAUUUGAUGUAACUCAAGAUCCAGACUAGCCACUAUUGCUAGAAUAAUGUGAAUCGAGGUAAAUCUCACUACAGGAGAAAAUGUAUCUUCAUAAUCAAUUCCUUUCUGUUGAUUAUACCCCUUUGCCACAAGGCGGGCCUUAUGCAUUUUUAUCGAGCCAUCAGCCUUUCGCUUUAUUUUGAGAACCCACUUGUUCCCAAUAGCUCUGCAUCCCUUUUGGAAGAUAAACCAGUUCCUAGACUUGGUUUGACUUCAUUGACUCCAUCUCCUCUUUCAUUGCAUAAAUCCAUUUUUCCUUACUAGGGCAUUUCAGAGCCUCAUUAAUAUUUCUUGGCUCAUCCUUAUCUCGUGGAGCAAUUAUAAAAGUUUCCCUUUCAAUGUCCAAAUGUCGACGAGGAAUACUUUGGCGACUUGUUCGCCGUAUGAAAGAUUGUACACUUAGCACAUCAUUCCCCAUCAUGUUCCCACUCGGAUUAGAUAAUGAUGAUGUCGUCUCAUCAUGUGGUUGCAAUUGAGAAUGAGUUGAAUUAAAUUCAUCACUUUUCAUAUUACUCCUACUUGGACGAACUCCACUAAUAUCAUUAUCUUGAUUCAAGGUUUCAAAUAGGGAGUAAUCCUCACCUAUUUCGCCCUUCUUAAGAAAUUCAUCCUCUAAGAAUGUGACAUCCCGUGAUUCAAAUUCAGUUAUACUCCCACUUUCCUGCUCACCUAUGAACAUAUACCCUUUCGAGUGUUCGAAGUAUCUCAUUAAAAUACUCUUCUUUCUUUUGGGACCCAAUUUCCCAAACUUGUGAGAGGACUCAUAAGUAUAGGCAGCACAACCCCAUGACUUAAGAAAAUUUAAAUCCGGUUUUCUACCUAUCCAUAACUCAUUUGGAGUGGAAGUAACUGAUUUGAAAGGCACCCGGUUAAGUAUAUAGGCUGCAGUUAACAACGCAUCACUUCAAAAAGUAAUUGGUAAGUUAGCAUGCGCCAUCAUGGACCUAACCAUUUCUAGUAGGGUAUAUGGAAUAGAGAAGUAUAUGGAAUAGAUAACUAUCUUUCUAUUCCUUUUUCAUCACGUAAUUUUCUGAACUCAUCAGAUAAAUAUUCUCGACCUCGAUCGAAUCUAAAUAUUUUUAUUUUAUUGUCUAAUUGAUUUUCAACCAAUUUCACAAACCUUUUGAAACAACAUAAUGCUUCAAAUUUAUGAGAAAUCAAAUAGACAAUAUCCGAAUCGAGUAUAAUCAUCUAUAAAAGUGAUGAAGUAAACAGCCCCAUGCCUUCCUCUCACAUUCAUUGAACCACAGAUGUCAGAAUGGAUUAAAUGCAGAAGAAAUUCAGCUCUUUUACCUUUUUUAAAUGGUUUCCUUGUUGUUUUCCCUACUAGGCAAUGCUCAUAUAUGGACAAAUCGACUUUUUCAAUGUUGCCCAACAAGCCCUCUAUGGCUAGUCUAUUCAUAUGUUGUUGGCCAAUAUGACCAAGUUUAGCAUGCCACACACUCACAUCAUUAUCAUGUAAAGUAGGAGACGUGAGAAGGGAAUAACAAAUAUUGACAUCACCACAGUCAACAUAUAGUACAAUAAAACCAUCCAGAAGGUAACCACGACCAUAGUAGUUUGUAUCCAAAUACAAAUCUACACUUCUAUUAUGGAAGUUCAUACUAAAACCAAGCGUAACCAACACCAAAACAGAUACAAAAUUUCGACGAAUCUCCAGAGCAUAUAGAACAUUAAGGUGCGUCCACCACUCAUGUUCAAUUGGCAGGUGCCAAUUCCUUUACUUCAGCUCUGGAGUUGUUUCCCAUAUGGAUCCACUUAGUUCCAGUUGGUACUUGUCGAAAUUCCACGAAGGAUUCUCUAUCCUUCCCUUCAUGGUCUGUCGCUUCUGAAUCUACAGUCCACAAAGGAUUGGAUUCAGCCAAUAAUACAGAACUUGACACAUAAGCAAAUUUCUCAAAUGUACAAGAGGUGUUUACUUUUUUUUUUUUGGCUCACAACAGUUGCGAACAUAGUGACCUCUCUUGUCACAAUUGUAACACCUCACCCUUGACAUCUUCUUCACUUGAGGACGUUUUCCUCUCUUGUGUUGGUUAACUCUUGAUUUCUUGCAAUAAGGACUUGAUCCUUUGCAUUCCCACAUAUUGAACGAAUUAAUACGCUUGCGCUUAGAGCUCAAAACCCUUUCUGAGCUAGAACCAGCAUUACAAAUGUCCGUUUUCGGCUCAAAUGCCGUUAGGCGGUCCUCUACUAACUCAAGGUAGCGCAUGGCAUCCUCAAGAUCUUCCAUAACAUGGUCAAGAGCUUCUAGUGCUUCUUGCUUUUCCAGCACAUAUUGAAUCUUUAUAUUCAAUAUUUCACAAUUGUCACCGUUCAUAUCAGCAAUUACGUUCUUAGUUGCUGAAAUCAUCGAUCUAAACACAUCAGACAUACAUGCACGAAUAAUUAAUGCCUAUCAUUUAUGCAUCCAUUUUGCACAGACCCAUCAUAUUAAUAAACAAUUUCAAGUAAGGUUUCAGAAUCAAAAGGUCACUACGUUUCCAAUCAUCCUCCAAAAAUCCUAACUUAAAACUAUCAUUAAUAUGAUUGUCAUAUGCAAAAUCAAUUUAUUAUUAAUAUAAUUGUCUUAUGCAAAAAUAAAUUCUAUGAAGUUAUAAAAACUUCUAUAACUACCCACAGCUAACUACCCACAGUAAUCAGAAAUAACAGAAAGCAAAUAAUAAUUGACAUCCAAUAAAUUAAUAAUGCUUUCACAUAAUACAACUAACAUAUCGGUUGCUACAUCAACAACAAUCAGGUAGUAAACAAUACAUAAUAUGUCCACAAAGCACACUUAACAAAAAAUCAGCCAAUACAUUUAAGAAAAUUGAAGGCACAUUUGCCAACCAUGGAAAAAACUUUUGGAGAGCUUUCAUGUCGCCACCAAGGCGCAUUCACUCUGCGCCAUGUGGCGCUCAAUCUAAGGGUUGAAGUUUUGGUUAACUCAAUCCUAUAGUACUCUCUUACAAAAGUUUCCAUUAGCCUCCUAUAACCCGAGACCACGUUGACCUCCCAUAGACGAUCUAACACUGCUUGCCAUUUAGCUAGAAGAGUGUUCAUCAAAGCCGGCACUUUCUCAAAAUUCGGCAUAAGAUAACCAUUGUAGCUGAUUUCCUGUAUCAUCUGUUUGACCCUGACCACAUGUGAUACUAAAUCACCGUCAUACCACCGAUAAUUAGCUAAAUCUGACAUCAGCCUUUUAAGUCUUGCAUUUCCCUCGUCCAUUCUCGGGAUUGCAGGUAUCCGUGCAAAACGCAUCAUAGUUCCUGCAACAAAUGCAGAACUAAAAAUGGAUUACUUAUAAUCCAUAAUGUACAAAAGGAAAAAUACAUAAUUUUCCAUAAUUCAUGUAACAAAUGCAGAAUUAAAAAAUGGAUUACUUAUAACCCACAUAGGCAUGACUGAAAAAGAAACAAAUUCCUUUUCUUCUUUUUUUUUUCGGGUCAACAGUCAACGGUCAAAGUCAACGGUCAACGGUCACGGUCGUCGGUCGUCGGUCAACGGUCAACGGUUCAUAGGGUCGGGUCGACGGGUGCGCGGGUUGGACCAGUUGGACCGGUCAGACCAAUCGGACCGACCGGCCGGUCGGACGAACCAAUCGGCACGUGUCACGCGCGUGCGUGGGCUGACGUCACGCAGAUGUCACUUGCACGUGCCGCAGGCGUGAGCAGUUUGACGUCACGCAGACGUCAGCCGAUACGUGCGCGGCAUGCGCCAGCUGGUCGGGUCGGGUCGCUUUCGAGUCGGGUCGGGUCGGGUCGAGUCGCCGGCCGGUGACCGCCCGGCCAACGGUCGUCAGCGAUGACGUCAUCGGUGACGUCAUCCCAGCGGUUAUCGACUGUUGGGUGAUGUCACGGUGACGUCAUCACGCGUUGGUUCGCCAACCGGCGCGUGCCGGUUUGCUGGUCGCCGACAUGCACGUGCCGGUUCGCCGCCGGCGCAUGUGGCGCACGCGCUGGCCAAUGCCAGCGCUUCGGGCGCGUCGCGCCCACGCGCAGCGCCUUCUGGCCGCGCGUGUGGUCGCGUGUGGUGUCGUCCGGCGGCGCACGACAUGUUGCCGGACUCGUCUCGACGACCUCUUUCUCCCUAUGCCAUCAGAAUUCGAUUUCGACUUACGAAAACUCGGAAAAAUGGCCGAACAACGCUCGGGUGUCGGGAUUUCUUGCCCCAAUCCGUAUGGCCGAAUUACUUUCACGAAAAAUCAAUCAAAAAACAUCAAAUUGAUCGGGAAAACGUGAAUUAGGGCUCUAAUACCAAUGUUGGGAAUAACGGAUCCCCGAAAACCGGAUUCGACACUGAAUCGAACCCCUAAAUCAAUGCGGAAGACGAGGCCCGGGAAAAUCACGUAUCACCGAUCGUAAAGCACACCACGGAUUCGAGCGUACCUUGUUAGCCACAGAUUAGACACCAACGCCGAUAGAGGAAGAAAAACUAGGCCCUGUUCAAUCCGAGGAGGCAAAAUCCUUCGAGCGCUUCACUGGUUUCGCUUUAAAGAAAAACAAGAGAGAGAGAGUACGUAGAGAGAAAGCAUACGUUUUUUUCUAAAAAUAAAACGGUGCCUUUUUCUCUCUCUCUCCUCCCUUUUAUACCUCUCCCCUUCCACGGGCCCUAUUCCCGUGGGUCGGGCUUUAUGGGCCCAACUUGGGCGGACGAGCCUUAAGCCCAUCUCAUAUAAAACCAUCAAUGGGUUUGUUAUUCUAUCACUAUACUAAAUCCAGCCACAAAAUGCAAUUUAUUUUAAGUUAUUAAUGUCUGCUCACUUCAAGUGAUUUUACAAUGUUUUAUACCAAAUGAAGUAUCUUUAGUAUGCUAAAAUGUCUCUUUAUCUAUAGGGUUUACACGGGCUUCAUAUACAUGUGUUCUCUAUCAGUAUAAUGCUUUUUGUUUUUGGGGUGGGACAUUUUAACAUGAUCACAAAGUCAAGUUCGAAACCAGUUGUUUUUUUGCACUCCUCAUAUACAUGUGUUCUGAUAAUAUUUCCAGAUGAUGUCAUUUGGAUCUCACAGGAUUCGGUUUUUUUGCCUGGUAAGUUCUAUGUGUGACAAAAAAUAAGGUACGAAUUAUUCUCUCCAUAUUUAUUUAUUUAGAAAUUUAUUUUCGAUUAUCCCUUGAAAAUCGGAUUCCUAUUCAAAUUUUUUCGGAAACCGCUUAUUGAAAAAUCGUGCCUUUUCGGUUUCCCUUAUUCAGUUUCCAAAAAUUUGCUAUUUAUAUUUUUACAUCUUUUCCAAGAAGUAAUCCUCAUUCCCUUAAACCACUUUUCUUCCUCUUCGAAACCCUUAUUCUUCGAAACGUCUCCUUCAUCCUCUCAAAGAUCGAAACUUUUUCUCUCAAAACAUCCAUGGCCCCAAAAUCUGCCCAAGGAACAAAAUCUAGACCCUCUGCUUCAUGAAGAUCUAGACAUAUAGCAGGAGUGGCAUCGGGAGCGAUGGGGACCAUCGAGCAUUUUGAACUGUCAGAUUCUUCCAACAAUGUCAAUGGUACUACAAGCGAGGCUCCUGUAACCUCUAAGAGCGAUUCUUCGGCUGAGUGGAGAAAGUUGAAAGAGGCCAUUGCAUCGCUCCGAAGCCUAGGAAACAACAAAGAGAUAAUAUCUACCCUCUUGGCUACAAAUGGGUUUGACAAUGAGGAGGCUCUAGACUUAAUGGUUGCAAAUCCUAUUCGUAUUAUAUCAUACGUAGUAGUCGAAAUUGUUGUGACCCGACCUCACCACCACCCGGCCCUCAUAAAAAGAGGAAUGGGGAAAGGUCGGACUUAGAGGUACUCGAUCACGAAAGUUCCCUCAAAGUUCUUAUUCACAAAAAGCGUCAUCACCUCACCUUUCGGACAAACCUCUUGUGAGUUUACUUGAUCAUGGUCGUGAGCUCUUUCAAGCUCGUACCUCGCAUGACAGCGGAAGGUUUCCUGACCUUAGGCUGACGUCAUGGCAUGUCUUGAUCGACGGUUUUAAGUUUGAAGGGAAACUGGAAGUAAAAGUAAGUUUGAGGGUAUUUUACAAUCAUGAUAGCCCUCUUAAGAUGCACAUCUAUUAAAGAUGGCAUCACUUGAUCUUUAUCAACUUCAUCAUCUUGGUAUGCUAAAUCACGGCCGUGAACCUUUUCCAAAGGUCCAUACCCCUCAUGACAAGUUUAAUUAUACAAUUUAGUUGUUUAAGACAACCUAGAUAUAGGACAUAAGUUGCCACUAGCCUCAUUUUUUAGGGUCGGCUAGAAAACACAAUCGAGGGUCGAGAGUGGUCUCUCGAUUCCUAUGCAAUCAGAUAUCUAGGUUCAGGAACUUAUGCUAAUAUUUCUAUUAGUGCCCUUUCAAUACCCAACAAUAUGUCGUGUUACUUAAGGUGUCCAUGCAUUUUUAUUUACUUUUUCGGGAUCGUUUUAUCCUAAGCUAGACAAUCAUGCGUGGAUAAUCAUUGUUAUGUCCUUCUAUUUUUAAGAAGGAUAAAAGAAAACAAUCAAUUGAAUUGAGAGUACGAAACAAUAAGUAAACAAUCAAAGAAAGUGAUAAACCAACUAUGGUGUAUUCAUAAUAAGGAUGGAAAUAAAAAAGGGAGUAAGCAAAAAGGAAAUACCUGCAAUUCAUUGGGUGUUUAUACAAACAAGGGGAACCCGAAACAUAUGUCGAGGAAAAUAAAUACAAAAGAGUGAUCGGAAUGGACAUCGACCUUCCAUUGUCUUCAUCUUCAGGAUCCUAAUCUAAACCUAGUCUAAGAAUUAUAGCUAGGUAAAUACAAUGUAAAGAAACGGCCAUGCAAGUCAAAGCAAUCAUAAACAUGAUACAAAAACAAUAUCAAACAAUUCAACAAAAUAAGAUUUAUCAAAUAAGUUUGAGCCUCAGGGGUAGCCUUUGGAAACAUGCGUAGGCCCAUCUAGAUACCUACCUAGUUCGUUUUAUGAUUUAAAGCUAUCAUUGACUAAUUACAUUUCUGCAUGGCUAAUAAUGCUUAUAAGUCCCUAAUUAAAGAAUUCUAUGUGAUCCUCGGGAUUUCCCAUCAGUAUCAUACAUUGUCCUUAACAUGCAUCUAGAAUUCACAUACAGGCAUGAAUUAAACACACACACAUUGUUGACACCUAUUUUUGAACAACAAAAAAAAACCAAAAAAAAAAAAAAAAUUAAUUAAAAAAAAAACAAAAAAACAAAACAAAAACAAAAACAAAAAAAAAACAAAAUGUUUAGGGGUCGGGUUGGACUGGAUCCAGCCUUGGCCCGGCCCGCCCCUCUUCCUUUUUCCUUUCCCCCGUGUAGCUCAGCCUCCUGGUCUCAUCCUCUGCACAUGAGGGGGAAAAAGAAAAGCAGCAAGGGCACAGGGGAAGCGGGGAGGGUGAGACGUAGAGAGAGAGCGGGAGAAGAGAGAGAUCUCGAGAAAGGAGAGACCUCGAGGGAGAGAGAGGAAAAUUUGGGGGGGGGGGGGGGGAGGGCGAUGGCGGUCGAGGAGAAAGGAGGCCUCGUUGCCUCAACUCGAUGCCCCGUGGCUAUUGGAGCCCUCCUCUGCCGAGCACCACUAUUCCGAGCCCUCUACUUGAGCGACCACCAGCUACCCGCUCAAGUACCGCCAUUGCUGCCGUGCUCCCUUCUGCCCAAACUCACGACGCCAGCAGCCCGAGCCGGUCGCUGAGCCCCCUCGCCGCACGACCUGCAACACUUGUCGUCAUUGUCGCCGACCACCACCGCUCCUAGUCCCCUCGCCAAAGAUGCCGCUCGAGCUCGAAAACCACGGCGACGUCCCUGACGAAGAAGUCCCGAUGCUGUUUCUAAGCGACCCACCACGAGUUCCACUGCGCAUGGCUAUUGUUACCUCGUUGAGGCACGUCGUAGACCACUACCGUGCUACCGUCCUCAACAAAGCCCUCGCCGUGCUAGCCUGUGACUCGCUUGCCACUUGCCCGACGCCAUCUGAGCCGCACCUCCGCCCUUCCCCGCAGCUGCCCAUCGCCAUACCGUCACCCAUCGUGUCGUUGAUGUUGUCCACACUACUGUUGCUCAUCGCGUCGCCGCCGCCAAGUCACCGUCAUCCCCAACCAUCCCUCAUUAACGCUACGAAGGAGUAGGGGAGAGAAGAGGCAGAAUCGGGUAGGGUUUGGUCUUCGAAGCAGGUUGGGCGCGGGUCACAAAACGGGUAGGGUUUUUGAGCAAUUCGAGCCGGGUUUGGGCUGUUUUUGCAUGUGGGCUUUAUUUAAAAAAAAAAAAUAGACCAGAUUAGGCCUGCACAUCAGGCCCAGCCUGGUAGGUUUUUGUCGGCUUGGAUCGCGCAGCUCGGUUUAGUCUGGGCUUGGGUCGUUUGGCCUGAUCCGGUCCGGGCUCGGGCUAUCUAGCCCAAGCCCGAGGUUCUGACCCAGGUUGUUUUAAAUAUAUUAUAAUAUUGUAUUAUAAUAUUAUAAUAAUAUUUUUAAAAAUUAAAAAAAUUCGAAAAUUAAAAAAAUGUAGGUUUGGUUGGAAAUUGCCAUGUUAUACCUAGUAUAAUUAGGCCUUUAUUUGCUUAUACAUUGAUUAUGUCGUGGGUUUAAUUUACAUGUUCAAUUAUGUUGGCAAUUGUUUAGUUGCUUACGUUAUUUCCAUUGCAAUUAGGAGCUUGGUUGUUAAUUGUCACUUUAAUGAUUGUGUACUCGUAUGAUCACCUCACAUAUUAGUGGAUAAGUGUAAAAUCAAUCCAAACUGCCUGAAAAAAAAAAUCUUUUCUUUUAAAAUGAACAAGAUUAAGUUUUGAAAGAGCACUAAAAGAUCAAUUAGUGUAAUCAAGUCUCUGAUCCUAAAUUCUCUGGUUGUGUAGGAAGUAAGGUAUACUAACAUGCUUCACUUGGUUUCUAGCCGACCCCAAUAAGCUAGUAGCGACUCCUUUUUCGAAAAUUCUUAAAAAUACCCCAAUGUCACACGAGAUAUGGGUUUGGGAGAGCCCGCGUCUAAUGAUGGGCCUUAGCUCUAUCUUUUGGUUUAUACCCCUAAACCUAUUCCCUCCCCCGAGGGGUAAGUCGUGACACACAUGCCUUUUGGGCCUUAUUUCCCAAUCAAUCAAACAAGAUGAGUGAACCGUUAGCAGGUCAUUUAUUGCCAAGGCACGUGCCAAUCAUGAACACAAGCAUUUCUAUCAAAUGGCGUGAUUAUAUGGUACAUGUGACGUCUCAAAAAUGGAUUCGAAAUCAUUAAAAAGAUUUUUGAGACAAUAUGAUGUCUCGGUUAUGAAACACAUUUAAUUACCAAACCUACCUAGGGUUUGCAUAAAUGUACUCACAAGCAUCGUAGGUAUUUUGAAUACAAUCCAAACUGUGACUUUCACCAUGUCAAAUCAAAGCUUGAAAAGAUUUGAAUUCAUUUUGGACUAAGGAAUAUCUAGGCUAUGAAACGCAUUUAAUUGCCAAGACUAACCCAAGACUUGCAUAAAUGCACUCACAAGGGUGAUAGAAAUUUAAAACACACUCCAAACCAUGAUUUUUCCUAAGUCAAAUCGAUUGUUGAAAGAAUUUCUAAAAUGUUGCUUUUUGAAACAUCACAUGUACCAAAGCGAUUUCGAGAUACAAUUUGAAAAGUCCAUUCAUUGAAAACCAUUUUGACAACGACGAUCAGGGGAUUUGCAACAUAUUCCAUGAAGAUGAUAUGCCCUAAUAUCAUAGACAAACUAACCUAAAGAUUUACUAAACAAUCACAACAACAAAUUCAUAUCAGAAAAUUUCAAACCAAGCACAGCAAAUCAACAAAAUUGGAAAGUAUCCAUCGAUAAUCUAACUAUAAGAAAAUUUCCUAACAUGCAAAACAUGAUAGAGAACAACUUUCAUGAAGGAAGCAAAAAGAGCUAAGCAUGAUUUUCUAAAAAUCAGAAAGCAAGUAACAAUGCAUCAAGAAGUUGUCAAAACAGCAGAACAUUCAGUCAUUACUACUAAGAUUUAAUCUACCAAAUGAAGUCUAAAAAUCACAAAAUUUUCAAUAAAAACAUAGCAAACAUGAUAAUAAACAAACUUUAUUAAGGGACCAAGUCCAGAAUCCUUAUAAAAGAAAUGGUACAAAAAUAGAAAAAGUCUAUCUAAAUAGGGGUAAAAACAAGUGUCCGAAUUUGAUCCUUUAGUCCAAAUUCUAGCCUAGCUUAGAAACAUAGGAAAUAGACCUAACGAUAAGUAAUUUGCACGAAAUCAACGAUAUUUGAAAGUUCUAGGUGUGCUUUACAACUUCCCAGAAGGGCCCGCUUCCAAUCAAGGUUAACUUGGUAUUCUAACACAAUGGUCUCUAAAAGCGUGCAUAUCAGCUUUUAAAAACCAGAAUAUAGACAUGCAUUAUUGAACCUCAAAAUCAUUCAUGUAAUGCACAAAUGGCAUGAAAAAAUCACAUACGGCUUAGAAUCAGAUGUGACAAGCAAUUUGGAUAAUCAUCUAACCUUAAGUCGACAUGCAAAAACAUCAUACAUUCAAUGCCAACACAAGAUUAUUUAGGAUUUAUAAUGUCAUGCUUGAAAGUUUUUAAGUGUAAUAGGCAUUGUUGUGACAUGAUUUUCACAUGCGAAAUGGUGUUCAACCAUGAUGAACCACAUACGCACACAAAGCUUGCUAUAUGUAGUUCUAAUAUCAAGAAGGCGCUAACGUGAAAUUUGGUCUCUAAGAGACCCAAUCAAGCAUACAAAAGUACGCACAUGAUAAGGUUUCAAUCCUAUAACAAGAGCAGAGAGCAUUCAUAAUUUUGAUCACUUAAAGGUAUGCAUAAAUCCAACGAAAAACGUGUCAUAUAAAAUGAAAGAUGACGGACAUUUUUUGUUAAGAACUCAAAAGCCAAUUUUGACCACACGGAUGAUGACGAAAAUGGCAAAACUGAUGCGCGCUCUUAACUUUCAAAUUGCAGCAGGACCUAUAUGCGUUUAAACAUGAAAUCGACGUAUCAAAUGGCAAUAAAAUCAUGCGAAUCAUGCAUCAUUGUAACACAUACGUCAUGUAUAUGAAGUUCAAUGAAGAUCCUAAGAUUGAAAGUCUCAUCUAUAUGCCUAUUUUCAUCAAAAUGCAACUCGAAAUGGUGCGGGGCAGCUUAACCUUGGCUUAGAUCUAAGAGGUUUUGACCCAUUAAAACACAUUCGAAAAUUCUGAAAAAAAAAAAUAGCAGGACAUUCUCAAGACAAAGAGGAACAAGUUUCAUGAACGAAACUUUGUCCAGAAAUCAUCACGGAAAGCAAGACAAGACACUAAGUCGGACCAAAAACAGAAACUAAAAAAAAAAAAAAAAAUCUACAGAAAUCAAGCAGAUUGUAACGUGCUUUUUGGGGGGUCAAACGUCCCCAAUCAGGCUGUACGACCUACUGAUUCGAAACUCAAGCCAAAAUAAGGCUGUUUAAGACCUGGUUUUAGUCAAAACAGCAAGCCAGUUUCAGAAACAUGAAAAUCAUAGAUUAGUGCCAAAAUCAUUCAAUCAACAAUGAACUUGCAUUCAAUCUAUCUUGAAGAUAAACAUAUAAUCUUCAGAUCUAAAGCUUUUUAUUGAUCUAAUAGUGAAUCCUAGUGUCGAUUGGAUAAUCCAACCUAAUAGUGAANNNNNNNNNNNNNNNNNNNNNNNNNNNNNNNNNNNNNNNNNNNNNNNNNNNNNNNNNNNNNNNNNNNNNNNNNNNNNNNNNNNNNNNNNNNNNNNNNNNNNNNNNNNNNNNNNNNNNNNNNNNNNNNNNNNNNNNNNNNNNNNNNNNNNNNNNNNNNNNNNNUUUCUAUUUAUAUUUUUACAUCUUCUCUAAGAAGUACUCCUCAUUCUCUUAAACCACUUUUCUUUCUCUUCAAAACCCUUACUCUUCGAACCAAUUGAUCGUCACUGGAGCAUGAAUGGAACUUUGAGAUCACGAUCCGACCGCCACAAGACGCCAUGAGUUCGGAUAAGCCACCAGUUUGGCCUAUGAAGUAGCAUUGUUCCAAACUUGGACCGGUUUGAGAUCGCGGGGGAAAGAGUGGAUUGCCGGAAGAGAUCCGAGCAGGUGUUGGCCAAGUUCCGACCGUCCAGAGUUUAGAGACAGCGUGAGUAGUAGAUCGGUGACAGUUGUUGGCUUGAGGAAUGGCUAGCGAUUGCCGGUUUAGCCGAUCCAAGACCCGACCGAUUCUGGACAACUGUGGUUUCAGUAGCCACUGGAGAUGAUCUGGGGGCUCUUCAAUCAGUUUCCGACUUAUAGAUGGUCGGAGACUCACCUAGGAUUCAAUUGGAAGUGGCUGAGGGUGUUGAGGGUGUUGGAGACGGCUGCCGGUCUCCCAUGGAGGAAAAAAUCCACCGUUGGUUCAAAGGCAAUUUGACCACCAAAAUAGGAAGUUGUUCCGGAGGGGAAAGACGAGGUCAGAGAGGCCGUCGACUGGGGCCUAAAUCGGCAGCGAUUGGCUCACCAAAGAGAGAGAGAGAGAGAGAGAGAGAAAAAUGCAGAAAUGAGCCCCCCUUUCAAAAAAUUGAAGGGAAAAGUCUAUUUAUACCACCUCAAAUCGGUCAAUCUCGACCAUCAAUUCGAUCCGACGGUCGAAAUCGUAAUGCAACAGGCAAAACUUGAUUUCGAAAGUGUUGACUCUUGAAUCGGAUUGCCAGACCCUCAUUGAGACGCUGAAGGGUUAGCGCCCGCCGCCAUGGGUAGAACGCAGCCUCUUCUCCGAAGCUGCCUUCCUGCCCGCCGCCAUGGGUAGAACGCAGCCUCUUCUCCGAAGCUGCCUUCCUGCUUUCGUCUUUUCCCAAUAUUUCCCUAGCCUUCUGUCAUCGUGAGGCGAAUGUUGCUGCUGACUGGGCCGCGAAGGCCCAUAGGGUAAAUUCCAAGCGAAGUAAUUGAGCUAUCUUUCCCCCUCCCCCUCUAUUAGAACUUGUUUACGCUGAUGCGAUUACUGCUGGUUGUAAUCGGUUUGGUCCUUCUAUAUAAUAUUUAUUGUUUUGACAAAAAAAAAAAUUAUGAUCUAGAGAUGUCAAGUAAUUGAUCUAAUGGGUUCGAUUCGCAAAACCAAAGUCAAAAUCAAGAAUUGUGUUAGAAUGUCUAUUUAGGGGUCAAAAUGCAAGUUUACUAAAUUUGAAGGCCAAUCUUCAAAAUCUUGGGCAACUAAAGAUGCAGAAGUAAAAUUGACACAAUGAGGACCUUAGGACUAGUUGCCGGAGGUCAAGAAUUGACCGAUAAGGGGUCGGACAAGCUUGCCUCGCCAGUAGCCGAUUGGACCGGUCAAAUUGGUUUGCAUCAGUUUGACUAGUUCUUGAUCGGUCUGGUUUGGUUCUAAUUGAUUCACCCGUUUGUAGUCCUUGUGGGUUUAAAAUUCAUGCAAUCAAGGAUCAAAUUGAAGAGAAAACUUACACGAUUGAAGGAAAAUUGCCCAAUUUCAAUUCAAUUAAGCCAAUUAAGCUUUAUAAAUGUGAUCUAUGGAUUAUCUAUUAACCUAAUUGAGUAAUUAUUGUGAAAAUAACGAGCUAAAACCAUGGAUACUUAAGAUUGACCCUAAAAGCCUAAAAUGCACAAAUUUGCAAUUCAAUGGCCAAAAUUGCAAAUUAAUGGAAAUUAGAUUCAAUUUGUGUUGUAAUUGCCCUAUCCAACUAAUUAGCCAUGUGUAAGAUCACCUAGAGUAUUCAAAUUGACUUUGAAUUGAGAUACCAAAACUAAAUCGGGUCUAAUAUUAAAAUUGGACUUAGAUUCAUACAAUUGGGCCUUAGUUUAGAAUGGGUCAGUUCGAAUAUCUUCAAUUGGAGCUCGAUGGUUCAGUUUUCUUACUUUUAAGAGAGAGAAAUCCCUUAAAUUGGAAAGUUCUAAUGCAAAUUUCUCAAAAAGGACUUUGGAUUUGGACUUAUGUUAAGAAAACAAGUGGAAAAUAAUUGUCCGUUUGUAGAUCAUAAAGAAUCAAUUUUUAUCCCCUAAUUACGGCGUAAAAUAAACAUUUAUCUUUUGACACGGUAAUUCACGAAAUUGAACACAUGAGCGGAUUUAGAAUAAUCUCUAAACCAAAUUUCAAAGAAGGAACUACACCUAAUUACGGCCCAAAAUAGAAGUAAAUUUAUUUUUGGUCGAUUUAGAACCAAAAAUCGAAAUAAUUAGAAAACAAGGUUCUUGAUCAAUUUUGUGAAAUUUUCGAUACUAAAGUAAAAUUGAAACGAAAAGAAAUGUUUUUGUGGAUUUUUUGAUAUUUUGAGUUUGAUUUUUUUGUCAAAGAUUUGACCAAAAGUCAACCAUUUAGUUGAUUUUUCCUCAAAGUUGAUUUUUGAGCCAAAUCUUUGGAUUUUUAAAAAAUUGACUUGAGAAAAGUGAAAUUGGCAUCUCUUUUGGUAAAAAGCCAAUUUUUUUACUCGGGGUUAAUUUUUUAUCAAAGGGUUGACUACAAAAAAGUCAACUCGGAAAUCAACCGUUUAACUUUUCAAGUUUUCCUUGAAAAUGAGCUGAAAAUUGUUUACAAUUAGCCAUGUGUAAGAUCACCUAGAGUAUUUAAAUUGACUUUGAAUUGAGAUACCAAAACUAAAUCAGGUCUAAUAUUAAUGCAACAAAAAGAAAUGAAAAACAACAUUUUUUAGUUGAGAAAUGAGCUCUGUUGCGAUCAAAAUCCCGAAUCUUGAUUUCUACCUUUUCUUUUUUACACAUCAACUAAAAAUCAGGUAUCAACAUGAACCUCUAGUGGAGUAAGCUCUUUUGCUAAGAAGGGGAAAGAAAAAAUGGCAGAAACCCCUAUGUCUAGAAAGAAGGGAAAAUCAUCUAAGGCUAGAGGUGUGGAUCUAGAUUAUGGUAGGAAAGGCGAUAAUGAUGAGAAAUUGUUCAUGAACUUCAAAAAAAAAAAAACUCGUUGGAUAUGUUGCUGCUAGAAUUUAGGGUUGGAAAGCUGAUAAAAUCUACUUGACAUAUGAAUUAUUUGCAAAGUUUGAUAAGAAUAGUAGUCAUGAAUCACAAGGUUGUUGAGUUUGAAUUUUUUGAAUCAUUUGGGAUUCAGAUUAAGCACAUUUUUAACAAACUUUUGAUGACUGAUCCGUAUAUUAACAAUUUUCCAAACUAUCCCUCUUUAACAACAUAUUUUUACCCAAGUCUGUCGUUUUACGCACUUGACAUUAUUGAGUUCACUAUUUUUGACAAAUAUGUUCUUAUCCAUGCCACUGAUUUGGCAAAAAUUCUUGGUGUCAAUCACUUAGACUUUUUUCCAAUUGAUGUUGAUCCUGAUGUGGCUUAUCAAUCGAUCUCACGUAUCUCUGAUUUUUCCAUAGAUACUCUAUCCCAUCUUUCACAUCACAAUUUUCUUCUAAACCAAAUUGUCUUGCAUAAAAUCAUCAUUAACUAUCUUCAAUCAAAAGAACAUAUGUAUCUCAGUAUGGAGCCAAGAUCAUCUGGGCUCUUUUAAAUAAUCAUCAUUUUUCACUCGCACACAUGGUCAUCCUUCACAUGUACUAAAUUGUUUUAAAGUCCAAACAACAGUUGUCCUAUGGAUCUUUGAUUACCAAAAUCUAUAUGCACUAGGAUAUCGAGAUCCUAGACAGUUUCAAGAAAAAACAACUCCCUUUAACAUCGGUAAAUGAAAAGAUGAUGGAAAAAAAUGGGUUUUAGGUUUGUCCAAUGAAGAUGGCAAGAUAGACAUGGAAAACCAAUUCGAACAAAUGUUGAAAAUCCAAUGGCAGACUUAGCUUCACCACUUGUAAAGAGGAGAAAAACUCAGAUUGAUAGGAGUGGAUCUCAAUCCUUCUUGCAAAAAUUGACUAAGGAAUCAUGUGAGGACUUUGAUGUAACAUAAGAUUAGGAAGAUGAUUUGACAAGUUGAUUGAAAGAAUUGGCGAUAGCCCUAUGGAUGAUGAUUUGGAGGAAGAUAAGAUUACAGAUGAAACUAAACUGGACAAGCCAGAUGAUGUGGAAAAUCUGCAAAAAUGGCAAGUGACUAACCUCCAGCAAUUGUGCAUGAGAAAGAAAAGGAAGUGGCCAAUGCCUUAGGAUCGAUUAAGAAUGUGUUGCAAGAAGUUGUAGCUAGUGUCAGUAAAGAAAAGCCUACUGAAAUGGACAAUGCCACUUUAUCAUAUCAUCCGGAAAUCGAAGAAGUUUCGAAUCAGCUAUAGGGUGAACAAGUGCUGAUAGAGGUACCCCAGGAUCCUAAUGAGAAUACGGGAGCAACCACUACAUAAAAGGUUGCUGCCUCAAUUGCAGAUGAAGAUGUUGUGGUGGUUGACAAAGAAGUGGAUGUAGAGAAAGAAGUAGAAGCAAACAAAGAUGCUCCAAUUGAGGGGGAACAAGUGCAGACUAUAGGGGUUGUGGAGACAGAGCAGGGCGGAAAGAAAAAGGACUAACCCCCUAGCAAUUGUGCAAGUGACUGACCCUCCAACAGUUACGUGAGAGAAAGAGAGGGAAGUGGUUGAUACCUUAGCAUCGAUUAAGGAUGUGUUGGAAGAAGUUGUGGCUAGUGUCAGUAAAGAAAAGCAAACUGUAAUGGACAAUGCUACUUUAUCAAAUCAUCCAAAAAUCAAAGAAACUUUGGAUUAGUUGCAGGGUGAACAAGUGUUUGCAGAGGUACCCCAAGAUCUUGAUGAGAAUACGGGAGCAACCACGGAGCAAAGGUUUGCUGCCUCAGUUGUGAAUGAAGAAGUUGUGGUGGCUGACAAAGAAGUAGAUGCAGAGAAAGAAGCAGAAGUAGACAAGGAUGCUCCAAUUGAGGAGGAGCAAGUGCAAACUGUUAAAGAAAAUUCAGUUAGUAUUUUGAAGUUAACAAAACAUUUCCAAAAGUCCAGUUUGAAGACUUGCAGACUCAAAAGUUAUUAUCUGAAGAACUCUAGACUCUUUUGUCAAAAUUUGAAGACGACGAGACUUUAGUCUAAAAAGUUUGCCCUCACUGACAGUUUCCAGACUGAAGAAUGAAGACUUAUCCAUAUACGGGAUUAUCUUCAAGAUUUUGAUUUGUAUGAUUUAUGGAUGACCUUAUAGCUGGAUAUAGCACAUAUUUGAUUGAUUAUCUUUAUCGGAUCAAUUCCGAUUUAAAGAUCUUUUGAAAGGCGAACAAACUUAGAAGGUUCUACUUAUGGAAACCAAAAAUCUUAAUUGUAUGGGUGAACAUAAUUGAUGAGCUUUCAUCACAAUCAUUUAACGAUUCGAAAAUCCCCUUGAUUAAUUCUGUCCAACGGGUAAAUUAGAAGAAUUCCUUUGGUAAGUGCCAACGGUUAUGAAGGCAUGAAGGAGUAUUUAAGGCGGACUCUCAAGUUGUUCGAAUGUGUGCAUGAAAGAAGAAUUCCAAAGUAUGAAGCUCUCCAGUUACUUAUUGUUUCAUUCAUUGAGCUUAAAGUUGUAUACAAAAGAAAGAGAUACUUAGUAAGACUUUAUGUGAGACCAGUAGAGACUCAUCACUAAGAAAGUCGAAGAUCACAAGUUGUAAAAUCUCUUUUGAUUCAUAGUGGAAUCUAGCCAGUGGGCUAUCAGCGCGAGAGAGUAGACGUAGGCUUGAUCUAAGCCGAACCGCUAUAAACCUUGUAUUCUAAUUCUCUUUCCUUGAACUCUUUACUUUCAUUCAUAUAUUUGCAUAUUCAUUUAAAAUUGAUUACGUUCAUAGUCUAUCAUUUUCUAAAAGCAAAUUACUUUUGCUAAGUCUUGUGAAAAUUUUUAUCUACACCGAUUCACCCCCCUCUAAGUGGUUGCACUAGUCCUUUCAAUUGGUAUUAGAGCUUGUGUGCUUACUUAUUGAAGUGUUUUUACUUCUUAAGCUAAAGAUUUAUGGGUAGUAUUUUGGCUCAAGGAUUGGUUGAAGGCCAAAGUAACACCAAACCUCCUUACUUUGAUGGGUAGGAGUACAAUAUAUUGGAAAAAAGAAAAAGAUGAAGGCAUUCCUGAGAUCGAAAGAUCCCUUGGAAUGGAAUGUGGUAGAAAAAGGGAUCAUUUCCAAAGCUACAUCAACCUCAAAAAGAGGAAAGGAAGUUGCAGAUGCUGGCGAAAUAACACAAGCAGAAAUAACCAAGAGACAAGCUCCUGAUGCUAAAGCUAUUUACUCAUUAUACUAUGCUUUAUCUCCAACUGAGUAUAACAGAAUUUCAUCUUGUGAAACAACAAAAGAAGUCUAGGACAGGUUGCAUGUUACCUAUGAAGGAACUGAUCGAGUUAAAGAAACAAAAGUCAAUAUACUACUUAGACAGUAUGAAGCCUUUAAGAUGAAGUCAGGAGAAUCCAUCACUCACCUGUUCAUUCGUUUCACGGAGAUUGUAAACGGUCUAGCAUAUCAUGGACAACCAAUCUCAAGACCAAUGAAGGUCAAUAAAUUGCUGCGUAGACUCUCCAAAGACUGGAAUCACAUUAAGACUUCAAUUAGAGAAACCUCGAGGAUCAUACCUCUUACAAUAAAUGAACUUGUUGGCACACUUCAAUCAUAUGAAGUUGAGCAAAUCAAUGAGGAAGAAUAUCCCAAAGGUAAGAAGUCGAUUUUUUUAAAAUCUAACGAUGAUUUUGAUAUUUAAGAUUCAGAAGAUGACUUGGACGAUGAAAAGCUAGCACUCAUGAUAAGGAAGUUCAGGAAGUUGAACAGGAAAGGAAGAAAGUUUAACUGGAAGAAGCGAAGCUCUCAAAGAUUUUAGAAGAAAUCAACUGAAGACAAUGAGACCAACAAAGAUGUGUUUUGCUUCGAAUGCAAGAAAAAUGAGCACAUUAGACCCAACUGCCCUCUGUUGAAUAAAAAGAAAGGAAAAAUAGAGAAAUUCAAAAAUGCUUUCAAAGUAGAGACAUUGAGUGAUACAGAAUGCGAAGAAAAUGAUGAAGAAUAUGCCAACAUAUGUUUAAUAGCAAAUUCAGAAUCAGACUCAGACUUUGAAACAAAUUCAGACUCAGACAAGAAAGUCGAUGUUAGUGAUUUAAAAAUUCAUAUUAAAGUCUCAAAAUAUAUAGAUGAACUCUAUCUUAGUCUCAAAACAUCUCUUAAAAGGACUUCCGAGUUAAAAAAGGGAGAAUUCUAGACUUAAGCAAUAUGAGAUUUCUUGGAAAGAAAAUUUUGAAAAUCUAGAUAAAAGUUUUGUUGAUUUGAAAGAAAACUCAGACUCUCUUUCGAAGGAAAAUGCCUUUUUGAAAGAAGAUAUUUCAAAUAUCAUGAAAAUAUUUUCAAAAGGUUAUGAGAAGUUGGAAAUGAUUCUUUCAGUACAAAGAUCUUAUUUUAACAAAUUUGGUUUAUGUAUGACACAUGAAAUUGUUCCUUUAAUUGAUUUUCCCAAAGUAAAUGAAAAAAUCAAAUAAAGACCUACAAAAACAUUUUAUAGAAAUCAUUUUUAAAAUUUUUUUGUAAAACCUGUUGGCCGAAGUGCUCUUAAAUGUUCAAAGUGUAACAGCUCAGAACAUUUUGAGAAGGAAUGUCCCAAAGUUUGGAGACCUAUUAAGAGAGUUUGGGCAAAGACUGUUUUUGUAACUAACUCCCCUGGACCCAAGAAAAUAUGGGUACCAAAGAAAACUUGAGUUCUUUUUAUGAUUGCAGGUCACUAUUAAGAAAAAAAGAUCAAAUGAUAUUUGAAUAGUGGCUGUUUGAGACACAUGACAGGAAAUCCUGUUCGUUUUAUAAAGANNNNNNNNNNNNNNNNNNNNNNNNNNNNNNNNNNNNNNNNNNNNNNNNNNNNNNNNNNNNNNNNNNNNNNNNNNNNNNNNNNNNNNNNNNNNNNNNNNNNUAUGAAUGGUGGAAAGUUUCUUUUGAUGGAAACAACAAAGGAAAAAUUGUUGGAUGUGGAACUGUGAAGAUUGAAAGUCUCACAAUCAACAAUGUCUCAUUGGUGGAAUGUUUGAAUUACAAUUUAUUUAGCAUAAGUCAAUUGUGUGACACUGGUUUCAAAAUUAAUUUUCAAGAAAGCAUUUGCUUGGGAAUUAGUAAAGAUUUAUCUCAGUCUUUUACUGGACGAAGACAUGGAAAUAUUUACCUUUUGGAUAUAAAACCAGAAAACUCUUAAUGUCUAAUUUCCAUUCAAGAUGAAGUAAAUCUUUGACAUCGAAAACUUGGCCAUGUUAACAUGAAGCAGAUUGCCAAGAUCUCCUCUAAGAAGUUUGUUCAUGAACUGCCCAACUUGACUUAUCAAAAGUCUGAAUUAUGUACACCAUGUGUUCUGGGAAAACAUGUUAGAAGUUCUUUUAAACCUAUAAAUCAAGUUUCUACUAAUUGAGUUUUGCAGCUUCUGCAUAUGAACCUUUUUGGACCAACCAGAACUCAAAGCAUUGGUGGAAAGAAAUACUGCCUAGUAAUCGUAGAUGAUUAUUUUUGCUUUACUUGAGUAUUCUUCCUAGCAAGUAAGUCUGAAGUAUUCUCUUACUUUUCAAAAUUUGCCAAGAAGGUUCAGAAUGAAAAAUAAUAUGCUAUUUCAAGCAUACGAACAGAUCAUGGAGGUGAGUUUGAAAAUCAAGACUUUACAAGUUUUUGUGAUGAAUUUGGUUUCCAGCAUGUUUUCUCUUCUCCAUAUACUCCAGAACAAAAUGGGGUUAUGGAAAGAAAAAAUAAAUCUUUGCAGGAGAUGGCAAGAACCUUCUUAAUUGAGAGUAAUAUUUCCUCUUGUUUUUGGGUUAAAGUAGUUUCUACAACUUGCUACAUCAUUAACAGAGUGUUCUUGAGACCUAUUAUAGAGAAAACUCCUUAUGAAGUAUUUAAAGAGAAAAAGCCAAAUGUUUUUUAGUUUCAUGUGUUUGGUUGUAAGUGUUUUGUUUUGAAAAAUGCAAAUGAUUGAACUGGUAAGUUUGAAGAAAAAUUAGACGAAGGAAUUUUUCUUGGCUACUCAACCUUAAGCAAAGCCUACAGAGUAUUCAACAAAAAGAAUCAGUCUAUGGAAGAAUCUAUGAACGUCAAGUUUCAAGACUCUAUGCAAAAUUAAGUUGACCAGACUCAACUUUAAGAAUCCGAACCUGCUCUAAACGUUAUAAAAUCUACUUCCCCCGAAGUAGUUCAGACUUCUAAAGUUCAAUAACAAAAAGAAUCAAAAGAUUCAACUGAAGCAGAAGAUCAACAAACUCUCACACCAACCAGCAACUGGAAGCAUAAGUCAAGUUAUCCUGAAGAACUCAUCAUUAGCAACAUUGAUGAAGGAAUUCGAACCAGAUCCAAAAGACGAGAAGAGUCUAGUGCCUUGGCACUUAUUUCUGAGAUUGAACCUAAAAGUAUAGAAGAAGCCUUAGUUGAUGAAAGUUAGAUUGAAGCUAUGCAAGAAGAGCUUAGACAGUUCAACAUUAACAAUGUUUGGAAACUAAUUCCUAAACCUAAAGGUAAGUCCAUUAUUGGAACUAAAUGGGUUUUCAGGAACAAAGUAGAUGAGAAAGGAAAAGUGAUCAGAAACAAAGCAAGACUUGUGGUCAAAGGAUAUACACAAAAAGAAGGGAUAGACUAUGAUGAGACCUAUACACUAGGAGCGAGGUUAGUUACUUUUGCUUGCUAUAAAAAUUUCAGGUUAUUCCAAAUGGAUAUAAAAAGUGCAUUCCUAAAUAGAUUCAUCCAAGAAUAAGUCUAUGUGGAACAACCACCUGGUUUUGAAUAUCAAAGAAAGCCAGAUUCAAUCUACAGACUAAAAAAGACUCUAUAUGGACUAAAGCAAGCACCUCGAGCCUGAUAUAAAAGGUUCAGUAAUUUUCUAAUCCAAAAUGGUUUUGUUAAAGGUAAAGUAGAUACUACCUUAUUCAUUAAAAGAGAAGAUAACGAUUUUCUACUUGUUCAAAUUUAUGUUGAUGAUAUUAUUUUUGGAUCACCUAAUGAAAAUUUAUGUAAGAAUUUUUUUAAAUGCAUGCAGGAUGAAUUUGAGAUGAGUAUGAUAGGUGAAUUAACUUCCUUUUUAGGAUUACAAGUUAAACAAUCAAAGGAAUGUAUCUUCAUUCAUCAAGAGAAGUAUGCGAAAAAUCUCAUCAAAAAGUUCUUCAAAGCUGAAUAAACGUGAAGGAGGAAAGGAUGUAGACCAGAAGUUAUACAGGAGCAUUAUUGGUUCACUUCUUUACCUUACUGCAUAUAGACCUGAUAUUUUGUUUAGUGUUUGUAUUUGUGCAAAAUUCCAAUCAAAUCCCAAAGAAUCUCACUUAAGUGCUGCAAAGCACAUCAUCAAAUACGUUGCAAUGACUCCAAAGUUAGAUUUGUGGUAUUCCAAAGAAAGAGACUUUACUCUCCUUGGAUAUUUAGACGCAGAUUUAGCAGGUUGUAGGGCUGAUAGAAAGAUUACUUUUGGUACAUGUCAAUUACUGGGCAACAAGCAUGGUUUUCAAGAAAACAAAAUACCGUAGCUCUUUCAACAGUUGAAGUAGAAUAUGUGGCUCUUGGGAGCUAUUGUUCCCAAAUUUUGUGGAUAAGGCAACAGUUUAGAGAUUUUGGAAUUGAAGAAUCAUGCACUGAGAUCAAAUGUGAUAACCCCACUGCCAUCAAUCUCACAAAGAAUCCAAUUCUUCAUUUAAGAGCAAAGCAUAUAGAGAUCCGACACCACUUUAUUAGAAAUCAUGUUCAGAACGGAGAAAUUAGGAUUCAGUUCAUCAACUCAAAGAAUCAGUUGGCAAACAUAUUCACAAAGCCAUUGGAGAAAAAUUUAUUUGAGUCUAUACGCGCCAGACUGAACAUCAUAUCUCUUAUCGAGUAAAGUCUGAAAAUGUUCAAACUCAAAAUAUCCAAAAGUUACGACUGUAAGUUAAUACUCUCUAAAUGAUUAUGAGUUUAUUUUUGGAUAAAGCUCCGAAAAGGUACGUUGAUUUUUGAAUCGAUACUUGCCUAUUUCAUUUUUAGGAAUUAUCCUUGAAUUUAUGGUGGUUUUUCAUUUUCAAAAUAGGUAGUUUUCAUUUUUGAAAAAUGCAGUUUUUACUUUUUCCUCUGUGACCUUUCAUAUACCCCGUUUCACUUGCUUUAUAUACAGUCGAAAUUCUUCUUCUCCAUUUACACUCAUUCAAACCCUAGAAUAUAGAGAUCCUAUUUUCUCUCAUUUCUCUUGUGUUUGAUCCAAAAAGCUUUCACCUUUUUCCAACAAACGAGAUCAAGAAAUCCUCCAAGACUUUGACAAUGUCUUUCCAGAGGAAAUCUUCGAGAAUUGCGAAUAGGAGACCACAGCACAUGCUUGAGGGUCCUACCCACUUCUAUUUAACUGAAGAAGAAGAUACUACUUAGUAACAACCACAACAACAUUCUCAACAGCGUCACUCCUCACAACAAACAACACAAGAUCCUCCACAAGCAGAAGAAGAGAUCAUUGAAGAUGUUGAAUCUAUAAGAACACAAAAACCCCAAUUUUUGUUUAGACUCUACUCGAACUUAAAGAUGGGUGGUGCUAUAAUGACUUUGAUCGAUGAGUUUCUGAAAACAAAUUGUUAUAAGAACGAAACUUUUUUCUUGAAUACCAUGGAAAGGUGAGGCAUUGCGCCUAAAGGGUUUUGUAGCAAUGACUUUUGCCAACUUUCCAAGUGAUCUGUGCGUUGGUGGUUUUAAUCAACCUGAAGGAAAGGACAAUGAUGAAAGGAUGUAUACCCAUUUUCAGCCUAGAAUGGGUGUUGAUGCAACUCUUUGUAGAGAGGGAAUGAGUUUAUUCUGUUCCAAGGACCACAAAAGGACUUAUUCAAAUCUACUAGAGAGAAGGGUUAUGAACCCUAGAAGUGUGGACUUUGAUUUUCUCAAUUAUUUGAAAGUGAGACUAAGGGAGAAGUUUGCACUUCUUCAACUUGAACGCUUUUGCUUAGAAACUACUGAAGCUUACCCUGAACUGACUGCUUACUUCUAUUCAAAUUUGUCUUUUCUAAAUGCGGAUAGAUUUUGUUUUACGUUUAGGGACAAAGAAUUUGUGGUUGAUGUGGAUAUAUUGGCUGAUGUGAUUGGUGUGGCAAGAGGGAGUUUCUAACCAAUCAGUGUGUCCGUUGGUCAUGCGACUUUGGCUCUUAUUCGGGAUAGAUUUGCUGAGGGCAUGAUUUCUUACACUAGAAUGAAUGCCUCCAAUAUUUUACUUCACAAGAUCGUGAUCAACUGCAUCAGACCCAAAUCCACAUCAAAAACUAAUGUCUCUCACUCUGAAGCGAAGUUGAUGUAUGCAAUCAACAUUGGCUAUAAGUUCUCACUGCCUCACACUAUCCUAAUGCACAUGUAUAGGACAGUUGUGAAGGAUAAGGGGCAACUACCUUACUCUGCGCUUGUCACUCAACUCUUUAAACAUUUCCAAAUUUAGAUUCUUGCUUCUCUAUGUGUUAGAAUCAUUGCGCCAAUGGUGAUUGGGCUGAAAAUGGUUUCAAAGAUGCGUCUAAAGGAGUUGAAUAAGGAAUUGGAGCGCUUGAAGGAGAAGACCCCUGUCAAGGCAAAACAAGACUCUACAGCAAUGAAAAGAAAAGGCAAGGAGCCCAUGACUGCACCAACCAAGAAGAGGAGAGCCCUUAUCUUGCAGGAUGAAGAAGAUGAGGACGAUAUCACUCUCUCUGCCUUACGUAAUUUAUGAAGUUUUGUUAGCUUCAAAGAGCCAGAGGACAGAGAGAAUAGAGAGAACAGAGAAAGAACAAAAACAAAGAAGAGAAGUGAAAAAAGAACAGAGGAAGGAGAAAGAGGAAGAAGAUGAUCAAGAUGACCCUUUUGAGCCAACAUAUGUUGUAUCCUUGUCUGAGGAUUCCGAAAAGACUCGGAGUGGAACUGUAAGAGACGAACAACAUCACUCGGAUGCUGAAGCAAAGUAAGGACAAGAAGAAGAAUUCUUUUCUCCACUUGAAGGCAUAGAAAUAGGGGGAGCUGUUAGAAAAAGAGGUACUUCUUCACAUGUCUUUACUAGUGAUAUAAGUAGAUCUCCAGCAGAUCCAUAGGAUGUCUAUGCCUCUCAAUAUCCUGAAGCAGAUGUAGAGGAAUCCACUCCUAGUCCUGGUGAUCAAACUACUAAUAUUCCCUCACAUCUCAAUACUCCUGGAAUUGAUUCGGCUGAACCUAGUGCUGCAACAGAACCAACAGCAGACUUUCAAAGGUUGUUGGAAAUCCUUUUGGGUGUGAAGGCUCAACAAUAUGGAAUGGAGUGAGAGAUCAAGCAUCUUAAAACAACUUUCUAGUCCACUUCAAACUCUACAUGAAUAGAUACAAGCCUUGAAACUUCAAGUGCAAGAAACCGCAAAGGGUGAAGAUAUUGAACAGCUGAAGGAGACUCUGAGGAAGCUAGAGGAGACUGUCAAGUCUAUGGGGGAUUUCCAAAUCGUUCGUAUCCCCAAACAACCAUGAUUUUUACCCAACUUUUUUUAUAGUCAUUCUUCACUUUUUACUGUGACAAAAAGGGGGAAAGUUUGUGCAGAUUUGACUGAUCUAUCUUUUUGGCUUGGAACCUUUUGAAAUAAUUUUAUGCUUGGUAUCUUGGACUUUGGUAUUUUUUUGUUGUACUUUUUGGUUUGGUUUUAGACUGACCUUGGAUUGUUUGGAUUUGAACUUUUUAAUGCUUGCACUAACUUAGAUUGUGAUACUGAUUACGGUUGGAUAGUCAUUUUGUCUUGCAGGACUAACAUGUUUUUUGUGGUUGCAGAAUCGAUGUUGUCCAGGUCUUAAUAAAAAAAAAUUUAGAUAUCAUGUAUUGCUUAAGUGUUGUUUUGCAGUUCAAAAUUAUUCAAAUCUGCAGGAAAGUUUUGUUACCAUAAAAAAAUGGGAGAUUGUUAGAGAAAACUCCAUUAGUGUUUUGAAGUUGACAAAACAUUUCCAAAAGUCCAAUAUGAAGUCUUGCAGACUCAAAAGUUAUUAUCUGAAGAACUCCAGACUCUUUUGUCAAAAUCUGAAGAUCGCGAGACUUUAGUCUAAAAAGUCUGUCCUCACUGACAGUUUCCAGACUGAAGAAUGAAGACUUAUCCAGAUGUGGGAUUAUCUUCAAGAUUUUGAUUCGUAUGAUUUAUGGAUGACCUUAUGACUGGAUAUAGCACAUAUUUGAUUGAUUAUCUUUAUCGGAUCAAUUCCGAUUUAAAGAUCUUUUGAAAGGCGAGCAAACUUGGAAGGUUCUACUUAUGGAAACCAAAAAUCCUGAUUGUAUGGGCAAACAGGAUUGACGGCUUUCAUCACAAUCAUUUAACGACUCGAAGAUCCCCUUGAUUAAUUCUGUCCAACGAGUAGAUUGAAAAAAAUUUCUUUGGUAAGUGCCAACAGUUAUGAAAGCAUGAAGGAGUAUUUGAGGCGGACUCUCAAGUUGUUCGAAUGUGUGCAUGAAAGAAGAAUUCCAAAGUUUGAAGCUCUCCAAUUACUUACUAUUUCAUUCAUUGAGCUCAAAGUUGUAUACAAAAGAGAGAGAUACUUUGUGAGACUUUGUGUGAGACCAGUAUAAACUCAUCACUGAGAAAGUCAAAGAUUAUAAGUUGUAAAAUCUUUUUUGAUUCAUAGUGGAAUUCAGUCAGUGGGCUAUCAGCGCAGGAGAGUGGACGUAAGCUUGAUCUAAGCCGAAUCACUAUAAACCUUGUGUUCUAAUUCUCUUUCCUUGAACUCUUUACUUUCAUUCAUAUAUUUGCAUAUUCAUUUAAAACUGAUUAUGUUCUUAGUCUAUCAUUUUCUAAAAGCAAAUUACUUAUGCUAAGUCUUGCGAAAUUUUUUAUUUACAUCUAUUUACCCCCCGCUAGGUGGUUGCACUAGCCCUUUCACAGACUACAAGGGUUGCAGAGAUAGAGCAAGGUGGAAAGGAAAAAGACAAUGAUCCAUCCAUUGAGAUCAUUCCUCAACCGAAGGUUACAGCUGAUUCCAAUGAUAACAUUCUUCGAGUGCUUAUGGAACUAAAGGAUGAGGUCAAGGAACUGAAAUAUCAUAUCAAGAGGCUCACACAAGACAAUGACCGAAGGGUAGAGAAGCUUGAGAACACAAUCACUCACAUGAGUCACUAUGUCCUUGUCUUUGUGCCUCCAGAUGAUCUCCCUUCUUCAAGUCCUCCAGCUCAAGACCCAAACCAGCCCUCCACCUCUAAAUAAUCUUUUAGUUUCUUUUCAAAAGUUCUAAGACAAUUUCAUUUGUGUUGGCUUGUUUUUUGCUUGAACUAUCAGUUUGCUUUAGUUUGUUAUUUGGGUUUGCUAUGUCAAUUUGCUACUGAGUUUUGGACUUAUGGUUGCUAUUAUAUAUAUUAUAUGGCUUGCUAUUACCUUUUGUACUAUUGACAAAAAGGGGAAGAAAUAUGAGGACGCAAAAUUUUGUGGAUUUUGAUGUGAUAAUGCAAGGAUGUUGAUGCAACGUGAUCCAUAUUUUGAAGAUUUAUUUCUCGCAAGAUUCGUUAAAGCUUUCCUAUCUCUUACCUUGCAAGAUUUGGAAUAUCUAUAAGAAUCAUAAUCUUUUUAUCUAUCAUUCUUAUAUAUAAAGAUUGCGCUUUAAUUAAAAAUCUUCCUAUUUUCAAAGCUUUACCAAAAUCAUUUCUUUUAAAAUGAUUUUGCUGUGAAAGUUUUGUCAUCAUUAAAAGGGGAGAGACUAUUAAGGAAAAUUCCCUUAUUAGUUUUGAUGAUUAACAAAACUUUCUUUAAUUGUUCUUUAUUUCUGAUGGUAAGAUUUUUCAAGUGGAAACUGUGAUGGUAAGACUAUUAGACGUUACUCAUUAGACUUAGAAAAUCAAACUCUAAAUGUUGAAGAAGUUCAUAUCUUUGAUAUUCAAUACUUGGGGAUAUUGAUAGAGAGAGUAAUCUUCAUGCAACGGCUAGAAAUUUGGUGGAUUCCUUGCUAAAAUUAAAAGAUCUAUCCAAGAAGGAAAUUAUAUCAUAUCAAAUCUUUCAAGAUGGAAUAUAGCAAGACUUGGAUAAAUCAAUCUACAAGAGGCGAAACAUUUUUUCCAAGUGAAGCGAUUUUCUUAUAGAAACUCUAUCUACUGUAUAGGCGGCAAAAUCAUUGAGAGACUUCAAUCUUAGCAGCCUUAAAGCAAUAAGAUCUUCUAACAACAUUCAAAUUCAAUGGGUAGAUUGGAUGGACGAUCCUCUAAGGUUACGUCCAACGGUCAACUUGGAGAAAAAGGAUUAUAAAAGAAGGUCGGGAUGCUGAAAGGAAACAAGAAGCUGAAAUUCUAAAGUUUAUAAUUCCUAAGUCUUGAGGAUCUUCAAUCAUAUAUAUUUGUUUCUAUGAAGUAUACUGUGUAAUCUUUUAGAGGCUGACAGUGUGUGAGGAAUUGUUCACACAAGCUUGAAUAGUCAUUACUCAGAUCUUGUUCCUUUGAUAGAUUCAUCUAGUGAAUUCAACCAAUUAGCUGUUAGCGCGAGAGAAUGGACAUGGGGUUACAAAAGCGGACUGACUAUAAUCAUUUGUGUGUAAUUUUCUAUUCCUUACUCUCUUUAUUUUACUUGUGAUAAAAGUUAAUCGCACACUAAUAAGAUCUGAAAAGUACUCAACUUGUUGCAGACGUUGUAACGUUUUAAAUUUAUUUUAUUCCGUACUAUCACCUAUUCACCCCCUCUAGAUAAUCCAUGUAGCUCUAACAAUUUAUAUGUUGGAUGUCGAUGGUUCACAAGUGUGCAUAUUGAUACUUUGUCGAACCAUCUCUAUUCUCAAUGGUCAUUGUCUAUUCAUAUACGAAGACACAUGCGAGCGCAAUGUAGAAUCUAUCUUCUUGGUAUACAUAUGUAGAUAUACAAGAUAAAAAGUUGAUGUUGUAUGCGAUCUAAUAAUGAUAUUGUAUUGAAAUCGUCGGCCGGAGUUGUAAUCGAAAAUGAAUGGUUCAUAUCUCAUAGAAUACAUGUCAAUUAGAUUUGGGCAUAUGAUUGAAUUGGUAGCUUGACAUAUGGUUCCAUGGCUUUUAUUCGAUUGGGACAUGAUGAGACAGAAUGAUCAAAUUACACAGUCACCAAAGCUAAUAGAUUCAUUAUGUUCUUGAAACAUUCGCACUAUCUUUGUAGCCAUAACACAUUGCUAGAUGUCAUUCAUGGUUUAUAGGAAUCGGAGAUUGAUCAAGACAAUCAAUUCUCCUGGUUGUGCUAAUGUGUUAGUACAAAUCUUGCUGCCAGUUCAGUGAUGAACCUAGGGAUAUUACACACUAUAACCAAUUGGAAUGACGUUUGAAUGAGGGAGACAAUAUUGCAAAUGUGUUUGCAAUUGAGCCAAUUAGAUUGAGUCAGAUUGAAAAUAAAAGAUCUGAAAGUGGCUUCAAAUUUUAUGGUCAAAUCAAAGAUCUAAAGCAUGUUUCAAAAUUUAUAGUAGAAUCAAAGAUCUAAAGUGGGUUCAUAUUCAAUGACCGAAUUAAUAAUUUGAAAUGAGUUCAGAAUUAAUAGCCACAUUAAUGAUCUAAAGUGAAUUCAUAAUUAAUUGCAUCAUUAAUGAUUUAAAGUGAAUUGGAAUCAAUAGUCAAAUAAUGAUUUGGAACGGUUUCAAACUUAAUGACUAAAUUAAAUAUCUAAAACGGUAGUUUUAACGAUCACAUUAAUGAUUUGAAAUAAUUUUAGAAUCAAUGGGCAGUUUAAUGAUCUGAAACGAUUUCAUAUUCAAAUGACCAAUUGAUAAUUUAAAACGGUUUCAAAUUUAAUGGUCAAAUCAAAUAUUUGUAACAGUUACAAAAUUAAUGCCCAGAAUAAAGUCUUGUAACGAUUACAAAUUAAUGCCUGGAAUAAUAUUCUCUAACGGUUACAAAAUUAAUGCGCGGAUUAGUGUCUGAAACGGUCUCUGAACUUACGUCCCUCAAAUGUUACGGUUGAAUUAAUUCUCUAAAACAAUUUUAGAGUUAAUGAACCAAUUUAAAGGUGAUCUGGGAUUAAUUAUAAAAGGCAAUUGAGAGAGCUGAUCACAAGAUGAUUGACAAUCGACAAUUAAAAGUGUUAAUAGUGAUCAACUAAGUCAUUCACACACAAGAACAAUUGCUAGCACAAUUGUAAUGGUGAGAUCUCUCAAUUUAUCUCUACUAUUCAACGUAAGAUUGGUGGUGUGUUUGAAUUAGAGGCUCGACAUUUGUGGGGUUGGAUUUGAAGAACGUCAGAACCUGCAUUAUGGGGAGAUCAGACAUUUAUAGUUAGAAUCUGAAGAAUGUUAGAACUAGUAUUAUCAGAAGACAUUAGACAUUUGUGGUCGGAAUUCCAAUAAUGUCAAAAUCAAUGUUGCCAGAAGAUUAAACAUUCAUAGUAAGAAUCUGAAAAAUGUUAGAAUCAAUGUUAUGAGGACAUCAAACGUUUGUGGUCAAAAUCUGAGGAACAUCAUAAGCAAAUUUUUGGAGCACGGUCCAAAAUGUGUGAUUAGCCCAUUUAUCACUUCUAUGUACUUUUAUUAAAAUGCAUGAACAAUGCUUUGAAAAUACGUGUAUGGACGUUUUUACUUUUGUUACUUAUCAUUUUGAUUCAAAUUUAUCUAUGCAUGUAUUCUUGUUUAUCAAAACAAAUCCCAACAUUGUCUUCAUGUGGGGUCAAUAUGGCAGAUGUGUCACUUGAAGGUCAAUCUCUCUCUCUCUCUCUCUCUCUCUCUCUCUCUCUCUCUCUCUCUCUCUCUCUCUCUCUCUCUCUCUAAGUUUGAACUUUUAAUAUGCAUACUAUCUGUAUGACAGAGACUACCAAAGACAAGCAGAUUCGACAUAAUCCUAAAAGAGAGAUGCCAGAAUGGAUUUUCCACGAUAAAGGGGUUCAACAUCUUUCAUAAUUCCCGAGGACUUGUAUGACAAGUCCUCGAGACUAGCACUCUCUAGCAUUCUUGGCUUGGAAGAAGAAGUGGUCAAUGCUUCAUGUGAGGUCAAAAUAUUGGUUAAAGGCCAAAGUUUGACUUAAAACUUGAAAUUAUUUUUUUCCUUGGAAUCUUAUCAUGUGAGGCUUGAAUAUUUAACACUCGUUAGACUGUGUGAACCAUGGACGCUUCUGCAAAAGGAUUGGUGUCAUUGCCAAGUUUGCUUCGAAGCAAUGAAAGUAAGCACAAAGAAGUGUGGAUUUUGUCUAACAUGCAAGUAAGAGGAGGAUGAUCUGAGGGUCUGCACUCCAACACCAUCAGCUGAUAUAAAAAAAAAAUAUGGAGUUUUAAGGAAAGAGACUCAAAGGAAGACAAUUGUCAAUAGACACCGAGGAAGAAUAUAGUCCGGUGGAACAAAACUUAAACAAAGAAGAUGAAAUGGUCUUUACUGUGGCAAGAGUAUGGCUUGCAAAACAUGCCUGUCAAAUUGGUCAUGACUUGUUGAGGAAAUGAUUCCAAGUGAUUUUGAUUCCAAUGUCUCUCACUUUUCCCUUUUUUCGUCUCUAGUAGAAAUUUGAAAAUGUCUGCUCUUUCAACCAGAAUUUAAAAUAACUAUGAAAUAGAGGUUUCACCUCAUGAUGUUGACAUGGUUGAGGAACUUCUUCGUUUUCCUCUUCUUUUUUUUCUUUUUUUUAUGAUUUGUGAUGCUAAGUGCAUAAAUUCAAAAUUAAAUGGAUGCUUGUUGAAUGGCCAUUGGUCUUCCAAGUUGCUCCGUGUAAUUUAUCAUAUGGACCUCUGUCACCUCUCUUAAUUCAAUUAAUGAUGCCAGCACUACAUACUCUAAAAAUUUAGAUGGUAAGUUUUGCUCAAUCUAAUAUAAUCUAUAUCUUUGGGAAAGUGUUGAUUAAAUUGUCUCACUGAUCAUGAGGUACAAAGGGAGAGCUUUAUCUUUAAGAUUUUGCAUUUAAGUCAAGGACAUUGACAUUGAUAGGUACAAAGGGAGAUUAGUUGAUUCCUCCGUUGUGACUGGCAGAUUGCAUUAAUAGGUACAAAGGGAGAGCUUGAUCUUCAAGACUUUGCUUUUAAGUCAAGGACACCGACAUUAAGCAACUAGCGUUUGGUAAACACCUUGUAAAAUAUUUGCUGCAAAGCAAUUUUAAAAUAAGAAAAAAGAAAAGGAGAACAAAGGACUAUGUAGAUGCAUAUGAAAGCACAGGCGAGCGGCACAAUGGUGGGACCGAUUCUAGCAUUGCACGACCCCAAGUGAUGUGUCAUUGAGGUUGAGCGAGCCCACACAACGCAACGUUAGUGUUGUGGGACCCCAAGUGACGCAUCGCCAAGGCCACCCGCUAGGUAACGUGACACUUGACCCUCAGCGAGCUAAAAUUGAGCGACCUUGAUCAAGCUUCCAAGCAUUGUGCAACUAUCGACGAGCUAGAUCUAGUGUCAAGCAAUCCUCAACAAAAGUUGGGGACUUAUCUUGAGCUUUGAAUAUUUUCAAAACAAAAAUUUGUACAAAAAAUCUUUGAAAUUGUGUUACCAAAUGUCAAAACUUUGAAUCAAGGGCAUUUGGAGGCCCAAAACAAGUUAAUUCGGACACUCAAAAUUUUUAAUGGCUAAAUUAGAUGGGAUUGAAGCGGAAGGUGAAAUUGGAAUAUACCAAAAUUGCCUUUAUAUUCUUCAUCGGCUUACAUUAAAAUUCAAUGAUGUAGAAAUGACAUUUGCUGAUUUCUCAAUCCAACAUCUUAAGCUAAAUAUAAGAUUACUAUAGUCUCCACACAAGUGACCUAAUCACAUUAUGAGAGAAUGAGAUAUCAAAAGCUCAUUACUAAACUAUCACUUACAAUCAUUAGAGGUUCAAGAUCAUGUGCACGGCGAUGUCUUUUUUCAAUAUCUAAUUUCUUGGAUCGUGACAUGUAUUUAGGUCUCGUAUGAUUCACCAGUCAUAACAUCACUCCUUCGCUCCUUCUCUCUCUCUCUCUCUCUCUCUCUCUCUCUCUCUCUCUCUCUCUCAUGUGCAAACAAAUUUAUACUCCACAGAGGACAGGAAAGAACUACCAACGCUAGUGACCCUCUUUUGGAUGUUACCCCAUAAAGAGUAUUGUUGACCUCUAAGUUUUGUCCAUUGUCCAAGUGUCCAUUUUGGGCAAAAACAUAAAAGCGCUAGUGACCCUCUUUUGGAUGUCACCCCAUAAAGAGUAUUGUUGACCUCUGAGUAUUGUCCAUUGUCCAAGUGUCCAUUUUGGGCAAAAACAUAAAAGUGCAAAUAAUAAUAAUUAGAAUUAGUUCAGCCCAAAAUCUAAUCCCCUCAGCCCAUCUUUUAGUUCCCUUUGAGCCCAUUUCUUUUGUUCCUUUUGUUGUCCUCAAUAGCCCAUCUGAACUUAAAACAAGAAGGCCCAGGCCAUAUCCAGGCCCCUUCUCUUUCGCAUGCUCACGUCUGUGAGCGAAGAAGACGCGAGCAGCGACCGAGCAAGAGAGGCGUCCGUGAGUCGGUCCGUGAGAGAACAGCGAGAGAGGGAAAAUAACAUAAAAGAUUCCUUCUCGGAGAGAGAGGGGAGGAGGACGCUCGACGACAUGGAGAGUGCGUGCUUGACGAUAUAGGUGAGCAGGGAGCUAGCUCGAAUGGGAGAGAAAGGGAGAGUGCAUCCCGUUUCGGAGUAGCAGAAAACCGCAUCGCUGGAGUCCGCCGUCGGUUUUCAGACCUCCGGUCAACGGCCAAUCCGUGAGUUGUUCUUCACAGAGUCGGUUUCGAAGAUCAGACGAAUACUGAGAUUUCUUCCGCGAGCGGAGGAAAAUCUCUAACCAGACGCCCUUCAUCGUCGUCAAUCGAGACCUCGAUUCGCCAAACAAACCAGGUACAAUCUCGCUCCAAACGCUCUACUUUGUCUCUGUUUUGGCCGAGAAAGACAUGCUCGAUUCGAUCGAUUUUCUUGAAGAGAUCUUGAUAAAACGAAGUUGUUUUGUUGCUAUCCAUGGUGUUUUAAGUCUGUUCGUAACGUGUGAGGCUCAGGAUCUAGUUAAAAUUAAAACAGAAAACCAUUGAAAGAUUGCGUAUUGCAAGUUUGACAAAAUGCCUACAAGAGGCCGAAUGUCAAGUCCCGUCUAAAUUCAAGAUCGAUUCGUACUUUCUGUGUUUUUUGUUGAAUCAUAUCUAAUACUAGCAUUUUCUCUGUGUUUCUAUGCGAUUUGAUGAUAAAUCUUUGCUUGAGUCCAACGUACAUGCGUAUCCCCAAGGCCGGAAAGCUUUUUGUCAGAGUUCCCCUUGCACCAGCGAAGUCAGCGUUUCAGGGACAUACUAGUUAGCCCAUCUCACUUCAUUCUAAUGUAUUUUUGCUUGUUAAUUUGUUGGGAUGCUGCGGUGAAAAGUGUGGAUUAGGUAGGAUGGUUUUUGUUAAGUUUUGCGAUAAUGGAGCAGGCGGCCAGAGGAGGUCAACGUCGCUCGGAAUAAAUGAUCGGCGGCUGGAGAUAGAUGGGCGGUAAUCUAAGUUCUGGUGAUAAACUCGUCAACGAUGGUAUUUGUUUCGUUAAAAAAAAAAAAAAAUGGCGCGAAAGGUGGGGUUGCAGGUUGAAAAUGGCGUUCGGGUAAAGGAUGUCCGGAGGAAGAAGAGGAAGUGCAGGCAAAAAAAGACAAAAAAGAACAAGAGACAAAAAUAAAAGAAUUAAAAAAUAGAAAAAAAAUCAAAACAUUAAAAAAUCCAGUUUUAAUCGGACGGGGGUGGGAUCCGGAUAUACGGAUCGGGUAAACAAGUCCGAACCCAUUCCCCGAAUAUAAUAAUAAUUAUUAAAAUUUUAAAAAUCCAAAAAGUCAUUAAAUCUAUAAAAAUUCAGAAAAUGAUAAAAAAAGAAAAUAAUAAAAAUUUAGAAAAUUCGAAAAUCAAUAAAAAUCAGAAUUUUUAGAUAAUCAUUAAAGAUUAUAAAAAUCCGAAAAAUCAUUAAAAAAUAAAAAGUAGAUAAAAACAUUUAAAAUUUAUAAAAAUUUAGAAAAUUCAUCAAAUAUUAAAAAAUAGAAAUCCAGAAAAAGAAAGAAUUCGAAAAUCAUUCAAAAAUUCAGAAAAUUAUAAAAAAAAAGUAAAAAAAAAAAAAUUAGAAGCCCUUAGAAAUUGAAACCCAUAUUUGGCCAAGUCUUUAGAGUUUUACAAUAGGGUUCUUUAGGCCCUGUUUGGUAACCAUCCAAACAGAAUCAAAUUCUGAUUCUUUGUUCCCAUAAUUAGUUUGGGCCUAAAAUCGCGUUUGGUAAAAUUUUUGUUCUCGGGAACAGAUUGGGAAUAGAAUCAAGAACCAAAAAAAAAAAAAAGUUGAUUCUUGUUUCGGGAACGAAUUUGAGAAUCAAAAUCAAGAAAUCUUCUUCUUCCCUUCGGCCAUCUCGCGACCGCCGUCCACCACCGCCCACCACCGUCCGCCGUCCGCCGCCAUCAUCCACCGCCGCCGGUCCGGCGAGCUCGCUGGAGGCAAGCCUAGCCACCGGCAAGGCUCGGCCUCACCAGAUCUGGCAAGGCCGAGCCUUGCCGGGGCUAGGCAGGGGCUAGGCAAGCCUUGCGACGCCCAACCCCACCGGUGGCCUGGCGAGGGUCGCCCAGCCUUGGCGAGGCUCACUUGGCCACCGGCGAGGCUCGCCCAGCCCUACCGGUGGCUUAGUAGGCCUCACCUAGCCCCGGCGAGGCCGGCCUGGCCACCAGCGGGGCUGGGCUCACCUCGCUGCUGGCGUGCCUUGGGCGGCGAUGCUCUGGUGAGGUCGCCAGCCACAAGAAGAAGAGAAGAAGAUGAGAAAAAGGAAAAAAAAAAAAAAAAGGAAAAAAAAAAGGGAAAAAAAAAAGAAAAGGAAAAAAAGUAAUAAAAGUAAUAAAAUUAUUUAAAAAUUAAAAGAAAUUGAUUUGGAACAGAAUUAAUGAGUACGGUACGAAACGCAAUUCUAUUUCAGAAUCAGAAAUUUUGAACAGUUAUCAAACAGCUUAAAAUGAUUAGAAUCAGUUCCCGGGAACAGAAUCAAAAAGAAUCAGUUCUGAUCAGAAUCUACUCCUAGAAACAGAAUCGUUACCAAACGCGCUCUUAGUGGUUUGGAAUUUUUUUUUUUUUUUAGGAACAAUAUUAGGGAGUUUUAUGUUUUCUUUUUAUUAUACUCGGUUGUACUUUUUAAUAUAUUGGAUGUUAUUUAUUUUUUUUUUUUUAGAAUGGUUUAGACAAAACUUAAAUUUCUUCGAUAGGUUGCUAUGGCUUUAGUUAACAUAAUCAAAUUAGAUACCGAAAAGGCAUUAGUCUUAGGGCUAACGUAAUUAAAUUCUCGAGUCUAUAAUCUUUGAUUAUAUAAUAAUAAGAUAUUCUCUUGUAUCUUAUUGAUUUCUAAUCGCCCCCUAAAAAAGCUAGUGACCACUUUUUUGUUAAAAUUUGCAUACACUAAAUUGAUUGAAAUUUUCAAUAUUUAAUGCCAUGCAAGGUAUGAAUCUGGGAGACCUCGACUCAAGGAAUGGUCAUCGGUCUUAAGUUGACAAUAACCCUAAACCUAACAAUGAGUUAGGUCACGACAAGUAUAUACUAUCUUUUCAUUCAAAAAUAUAUAUUUUAAUUCACAUCUUAUGCAAUGAGAGCAAGAGCAACACCAUUGAUUGAAAAUGAUUAAUAAAACCCGAAGCAAUGUACCGAUUUCUAUUUAUUUAUCAGAUCAUUCCGUUUUACCAACCUUCCUUAUUGUUAUGAUUUAUUUUGAGUUAAAAACGUUUGAGAACAAAAUCCAAAAGGAUGACUCUACAAAAUUGCCACACGAAAACCAGCAAAGCGCGAAGCAAUGUUGGGCAAAUUCACGAGAAAAAUCCUAGGGCGACCCGAUUUGAAACAAGCUCAUGUCAAAAUGGGCGUCUUAAGACUGAAACGAUGGACCGUUUCUCUUGCUAGCUUAAUUGGAACAUGAAUGAGAAUAUGGUUUGGAUUCGCUUUACAUUUCAUGAAAAUUUUUCUUCCCUACUUUAAAAAAAAAAAAAAUUGUUCCCAGCAUGAUAAUGAUGAUGAUGAUGUUAUUAUUAUUAUUAUUAUUAUUAUUAUUAUUAUUAUUAUUAUUAUUAUUAUUAUUAUUAUUAUUAUUAUUAUUAUGCUUUAGUUUUUCUAGGUUCUAAACUGGCCAAAGAAAUAAAUCAUGUGCUAUUGUAGUUGAUCAGUGCGGUUAAUUCACAUGAUUUUACUUCCAAAAAAGCUAAAAGUAACUCUAUUUGAGUAUUUUGUAAAUUCUCGAAUGCAGAAUUUGGUGUCAGCUAAGCCCGAAGUAAAUUUUAACGCAUCCCGAUCAUGAAAAUGCUUUGACAAAGCGUUCGUUCAUAUUAGUAGUUUUAGGGCACGUUUGGUAACGUUUCUGUUCAAAAAUUGUUCCAAGGAACAAAAAUAGAAAAAACUAUUUCUGCUCCGAAAAACAAUUUUUGAACAGAAGAAGGCGUUUGGUAAACUUGUUCCGAGAAUAAAAAAUGAACAUAAACACGUUUGGUAAAUUUUUGUUCUUUUUUUUGUUCUUUUAUUUUUAAAAUUUUAAUUUUAUUUUCUUUACUUUUCCUAUUUCUUUUUUCUCCUAUGCUGGGUUGCUAGCCCUCGCCCCAUGGCUGGCGACCGACUGACCGAGGGCCGGCGGUCUCGCGACCCACGGCAAGGCUCGCCGACCCUUGCGAGGCCGAGCCUCGCCGUGGUUGGGCGAGGCUCGACCUCGCUUGGCUGGGCGAGCUUGGGCUUGCCCAAAUUUGGCGAGCCCGAGCUCAACCAGCCUUGCCCCACACUAGCGAGGCUCGGCCUCGCCUUGGCCGGCGAGCCCGAGCUCACCCAGCCACCAAUGAGGCCAAGCCUUGCCGGGCCACCGCUAGGUCGACGAGCCUCGCCGGUGGCUGGGCGAGCUUGGGCUCGCCGGAUCUAGGUGAGCCCAAGCUCGCCCAACCAAGGUGAGGCGAAGCCUCGCCAGGGGCCGGCGAUGCUCCAACGAGGUCGCCGGCCAUGGCCGAGGCCGGCGACCGACCAAAGUAAAAAGAAAAGAAAAGAAAAAGAGAGGAAAGAGAAAAUUUGUUUUUAAAAAUUGUUCCAGAAAUAAGAAACAUAUUUUUAUUGUUUCUCGUUUCUGUUCCAAAUGUGUUCCUAGGAACAAAAAAAUAGAUUUGGAACAAAAACGCAAACAAAUGCGUUUCUGUUCUUUUUUUGUUCCCUGUAACAAAAAAACAGAAAAUUUUGUUCAUAAACAGAAAAAAAGAAUGUUAACAAACAGGGCCUUAACUAGUAUCUUUAGGGCACUUCUACACUUUUAAACACAAUUUUUUUUUAUGUUAAUUGUAAUAAACUCUUCAAUUUUUUUUUUUAAAUUCAAGGGAUUUUAUUUUCGCUCUAUAAAAAAUUAGUUCACUCUUAAAUUAUAAUGCGAUGGUUUUCAAGUGGAACCCAUGUUAGGAGAUCACUCGGCAAAUCGACAGCCGUCAAGUUCAGAUUUUGGAUGAAUAACGGCAUAGGGAAGGGAAAGAAAAAUAAAAAAACCAGAUAAUCUCUUUUUCCAUAACAGUCUCCAAGCAAUAAUGAACUUCAUCUUAGGAGCCAUAUGAAGAAAAUGACACCCAGUCACAACCGCAAAAACCUAUCUGAAAUUGAUUCCUAGAAAAUAACUUGGCCAAAAAAAUCCCAUCAAUUAAUUAAUCUCUAUCUACUUCUUAUAGAAAAAUGUCAAAAGUAGAGUAAUCUUGAUUUCGAAUCUUGCGCCAAUGACAACCACGUUGAUGACUUAAAGCAUUCUCAGUCACGUCAAGUUUGGGCCAAGGUCUUUUCUAGACAAUGACUUCUUGACAAUAUUUAUCAUUCCAUAAAUAUCAUCAAGGGGUCAAAAAAAUUCGAAGAAACAAGAGAAAAAGACUAAUGCGAAAGGAAUUGCGUAUAUUUUCAUUUUUUAUAUUUGCAAAUCUUUACUUUUUAGUAUGUAAUCCUCUAACAAUCAAGCUAUUUGAUGGUCAUAGUAAAUACUCUGUCAUCCCACUCUUAAAAGAGCAUGUCCCAUAUUUAUUGUUUGUCUAGACUAAUCUAUCUUCCGUUAAUUGUGAAUUUAAAUGAAUAACAAUAAUUUUCAUAGUUCGUCAAAUAGUUCCCUCGAAGUGCUUCUAAAAGGUCUCAUCUAUCCUAUCAUUCGCCUAUUGCAUAUCAAGUUUCAGCAUAGCUGGCAACUUCUUAUUGCUUGCAUGCACUCUUAGAGGGCAACAUCUCCUGAACAGAGUAUAUUGUCUUGAAUUUGAUAGCAACGGACAAAAGCAUUUUGUUCUAUGUAGAUAAUAUCCAAAACUAAUGAUUCUAAUCUGUUGGUCAUAAUUUUGUAGACAAAAUUACACAGGCUAAUGGGACGAAACUAUUUCAGCUUUUCUAAGUAGGGCAUUUGGGGAAUAAGUAUAAUUUAGGUUUUAUCUGCUUUAGCAUUUAAGCAUCCGGUGUUCUAAAAGCAAGUUAGUUCUUGAAAAACAUCGUGUUGAAUGUCCUCCUAGUGAUGUUUGAAAAAAUGUCCACUUAAACCAUCGGGACUGGGGGCUUUGAGAGCUCCUAACUAGCGUACGGUUUUUGAAAUUUCUAGUAUGGUGACCUUAGCUAUCAACUUUCAAUCCAUAUAUUCCAAAACUAAAGUUGGAAUAUGUUCAAUAAUUGGUUGGAAAUUCCUUUGUCUUAACGACAUAUAUAAACUCUUAAAGUAUUCCACCAUCAUUUGCUUUGGAGCAUUAGGUUCACGUGUCCACUCCCCAUCAAUAUUAGCAAUAUAGAGAUUCUGUCUUCCUACCUCCUUGAAUAGUUGUUGCAUGAAAAAUUUUGGAGUUUUUAUACCCCAUUUCAACCAGCUAAUUCUAGAAUGCAUGCCCCCAAAAAAUUUCUUCGCUUUUCCACAGUGAGCCAAUUUCCUUUUUUCAAUUUCGAUAUCUUUUCUUUACUUUGGGAAAUAUCUGGGCUGUUUGUUAUAUUUUUGAUUUCUUGCUUUAGUAUCUCAAUUCUCCUAUGAGAAUUUUUUUCCUACUCCAAGAUGCAAGGGUCAUUUUUCACAAUUUAGUUAUUACGGGCCUGUUUGGCAAUGUGCCAAAUAGUGUCUGAUUUUGAUUUUUUGUUCCCAGAAUCAGUUUGGGACGAAAAUCGCGUUUGGUAAAAUUUUUGUUCCUGGGAAUAAAUUUGUUCUCGGGAACAUAUUGGGAAGAGAAUUGAGAAUAAAAAAAAAAAUGAUUCUCCAUCCAAGAAUCAAAAAAAGAUCAAGUGUCCUUCUUCCCUUCCGACAUCCCGCAAUUGCCAUCCACCACCACUCGCCGCUGUCCGUUAUCACUCGUCGCCUCCGUUCGCCGCCGAUCUGGCAAGCUCGCCAGGCAAGGGCGAGGUCCAGCAAGCUCACCGGAGGCAAGCCUUGCCUCUUGGCGAGGCCGGCCUGGCCACCGGAGGGGCUAAGCGAGCCUCGCCGACAGCUGGGCGAGGCCGAGCCUUGCCGGUGGCCAAGCAGGCCUUGCCUAGCCCAGCUGCUGGCAAGGCUCAGCCAACAAGAGCCGACCUCGCUGAGGGCCAGCUACGCUCCGGUGAGCGUUGCCGGCCCUUGUUUGGCUGAUCCCCGGUCUGGCAAUCGGCCAAAUGAAGAAGAAGAAGAAUAGGAGAGAAAGGGGAAAAAAAAGAAAAAACAAAAGGAAAAAGGAAAAAGAAAAUGAAAAUGAAAAAAGUAAAAAAAGUAAAAAAAAAGUAUUUAAAAAUUAAAAGAAAUUAAUUUGGAAUAGAAUCAAUUAGCACGGUAUCAAACGCAAUUCUAUUCCAAAAUAAAAAAUUUUGGACAGUUACCAAAUAUGUUUUUUUUACUCAUAAUCAGUUCUCGGGAGCAGAAUAAAAAAUAAUCAUUUAUAGUCAGAAUCAGCUCCCGGGAGUAUAAUCAUUACCAAACGCGCCCUAAAUCAGCUGCUUCUUGCUUGGGAGAUAACCAAACCCCAUUGACAAUAUUUCCAUGCUCCUCGUCCUCUAAGCAUUAUGUUUCAAAUCUAAAUUCUUUUGCUUUUUCCACUGGUUGUGGGAAUAAUCUGAGCAAGAUAGGACUAUGAUCUGACCAACAGCAAAUAAAGCAAAGACUUCCGUGUCUGGAAAAGCACUACCUGUUCAAUCAUGCAUAAGACUCUAUCUAGUUUCUUUUUGACAAAUUCCUCCCAUUCUUUAUUAUUAUCCCAAGUAAAAGCACAUCCCUUGCUUUCCACUUCUAUAAUAUCACAAUUGUUUAGGAAGUUUCUAAAUGCUACUAGUCAAUAAUUGUUAGCCAUCCUCCUCCCCACCUUCUCCCAAGGAUAGAGUAUUUCAUUAAAAUCCCCUACAUACAUCCACCGUAGAUGGUUCGGAUGUUUGAUACCUUCCAACUCCUUCCAUAACAUUUGUCUAUCAUGAAAUACAUUGUGUGCAUGGAUACAAGAUAUAUGCAUUUGUAACUUAUGAUCUUUUAAUUCACAUAAUAUAUCAAUAAAAUCUAUCGAUAUUUUGCUUCAUGGAAAUUGCUAUCGUGGAUGCAAGUACUUUCCCUCUAUGAGCGCAUGUCUUGUUAAUAUCCUUUGACAGGGGAAGGGUAAAGGAAAGAGGAGGGGAGGGGGACCACAUUGGAGCCCUAUUUAUCAUUCUCUUUCUUUUAUUUUUUUUAAAAUUCAUUUUAAUAUAUUUUAUAAAAGUCUAUGCUUGAUUUGUCAACUAAAACUUAGGUGUCAAUAUUGACAUGUGGACAAUUUUUUAAUUUUUAAUUUUUAAUUUUAUUUUUUCUUCACAUGGCCAACAAGACUGCCAGCCCUUGGUAGAGGCGAUGGCGGUUUGGGCAGUGGAGAAAGCCAAGCCCAGGCAGAGCAUAGGUUGAAGCAGGAGGAGUAAAAGAGAAAAAGAUAAAUUUUUUUUUUUUUAAUUUCAAUGUCAAUAUCCAUACAUCAAGAUCUAACUGGAUAUCAAUAAAUAAGUGCACGCCAUAUGAGACGUUGACGUGGCGCUUGCAAAGCGUUGAAUAUUUUUUCUCUCUAUCGCGAGGACUAGGCUUAUGUCGCUAGCGAUUAGACUGCUGCCUCAAAAGUGGAUUGCGCAUCCUUGCGCGUGGACUAAGAGACACCAGCCGCACGGGUGACCGCGUGGGCCGGACCCGAGACCUCGUAGCCAGAUUUACGAACCCUACCGGCAGUCUCUGUCUUUUGAGUCCUUGGCCGAUUCUUCAUCGGUCCAGCUUUUGUCUCUGAGUUCUUCUUUCUGCUUCCCUGGCUCUCUCUCUCUUCCCACUUUCUUCUUCCUCCUCCUUCAAAACGAUAGUCAACGCAGAACCGCCUGGCAGCCACAAUCCUAGAUCUCUCUAUCUUCUCGCCCUCGACACCGUCAGGGCCGGGCGAUCCAUCGUCGUUACGGGUCAGCAUCGUUUAUUUUUGCACUCCUAUGUUUUUCCGGUGAUCCCGACGUCGAUCUCGCCCUCUACACCCUUGCCGCGGCGCGUUCCUUCCUCGUCCAGCAGCAUAUUUAUCUGAAAUCGAAAGCUGAAAACGUUUUCACCAACCAUACGGCCCUGAGACCGCUUGUUUCUUUGAAGCGAGCGAGAGCGAGAGCCAGGGCAUAGGGAAGAGAUCGUCGACUUCACUGCCGAUCGGGGAAGGGCAACCCCCGAUCAGAGGCCGCUCAGCAUCUCCAAGAGUAAAGCCCACUCUGCUUCAGCCUUCAGCCCUUGAUUUUCAUAGCAAGACUCUCUCUCUCUCUCUGUUCCGAAGCUUGGCAUUCUAGAGAAGCACAUAUACCAUCAGCUCUUCUAAUGGCUGCUUCUUCGAAUAUGAAAAGGAAUUAUUACCAUGUGUUCCUCAGUUUCAGAGGAACAGAUGUCCGCCACGGCUUCCUCAGUCAUCUCUACGCCUCUCUGGACCAGAGAGGAAUAUACACUUUUGUGGAUCGCGAGGAGCUUAGGAAAGGAGAGGAAAUAUCGCCGACGCUCAUGAGGGCGAUCGAGCAAUCGCGCGUUGCGAUCAUCAUUUUCUCUGAGGACUACGCCUCCUCACCAUGGUGUUUGGAAGAGCUCUUGAAAAUCAUGGAGUGCAAGGAGCAAAACGGCCUGAUUGUGUUCCCUGUGUUUUACAAAGUGGAACCGAGAGAAGUGAGAAGGGGGAGAGAGAGUUAUAAGAGAGCUAUGGAUAGCCAUGAGUCCAAGUUCGGAAAGGAUUCAGAGAAAGUAAAGAGAUGGAAGAGGGCUCUUCUUGAUGCUGGUAACUUGUCUGGGUGGGACUUCAAUGACAGGUACGCACAAAUGUGACGCAGUGCUUUGCGAUUGUAGCUCGUGAUUGUGUGUUAUAUAUCAAAUCGUAUGUAUAGCUUCGAAUUGCCAAAACGAUGCAUCAAGUUCUUUGAAUUCGCAGUAGACACAAAAGUUGAAAGACCAAAAUUUCAAGCAAGCAGAAAUUUUUGUCUUAGAUAAGUAGUGUGGUUCCUGGGACCCGAGUAAUUAGUGUCUUCAGGCGCAGAUUCUUUGUAAUUUUCCUUCCGCAGAUGUUGGCGCAGGUAUGUGUUAUUUCUUUUCAUCUUAUUAUUUGUUAACCUCCUUAUGAAAUUUUCCUUAUGAUGUUAGACGUUGAAUUCCUGCCAUGGCUUGAAAUGGUAAAAUAUGUUUCUAUUUCUUUUGAGUGCUCACUAGAGAAGAAAGAGAUGAAGCGGAGCUCAUACAACUCAUUGUCAAGGAAUUAUCAAUUUGUCUCAGACCAAGAUCCUUAUCUGUUGCUAACUAUCCAGUUGGUAUAGAAUCCCGAGUUCAAAAACUGAUAAGUUUGUCAGAGUCAGCUGGUAGUGAUGUUUUGAUAAUAGGUCUAUGGGGACCUGGCGGCAUAGGGAAGACCACGAUUGCUAAGGCCCUGUAUAAUGCUAUUCAGACGCAAUUUCGAGGUUCUAGUUUUUUGGCGCAAGUUAGAGAAAAAUCAAACCAAAGCAGCGGUCGUGUUGCUUUGCAAAAGCAACUUCUAUCUGAGAUCUUACCUCAUGAAGAUAUAAUGGUCUACAAUGUCGACGCAGGAAUUAAUUUGAUAAAGGAAAGACUAUGUCGCAAGAAGGUUCUCCUAGUUCUCGAUGAUGUUGAUGACAUGGAUCAACUGAAUGCCUUAGCUGGAAAAGGCGAUUGGUUUGGCAAACAAAGUAGAAUCAUUGUUACAUCAAGAGAUAGACAUUUAUUAACUUCUCAUGACAAAAAUUAUGUGUAUGAAGUUAAAACUUUGGAAGACGAUGAAGCACAAGACCUUUUUGGUCAGCAUGCCUUUAUAAACAGCAAUAAAGUAGAAAUAAGGAGGGAUCUCAUUGAUGGAGCAUUGCAUUAUGCUGGCGGCCUUCCAUUAGCCCUGGAAGUGUUGGGCUCAUUCCUACGUGGAAGAAAGGAACCUGAAUGGGAAAGUACGUUGCAUAAACUCUCUAAAAUUCCUGAAUCAAAAAUCGAUCGAGUUCUCAAGAUAAGCUUUGAUGGAUUGGACGAGAAUGAGAGGGAGAUUUUCCUUGAUAUUGCUUGUUUCUUUAAGGGGAAAAGUAU
rnacentral:lncRNA from 1 species